UGGAUUCUCACCUAAAUGGGAAGAGUCACUCGGAUCAGAUCAAGGACCAGUUAAGAUUAUGGUGUGGGGCAUGUAAUGUAACCUGCAAGAGUGAGCGCAACAUGGCCUUUCAUCUGAAUGGGAGGAAGCACUUAGAGAAGAAGGGGAAUACCUGAUUUGCUCUUCAGAUUAUUGAUACUUACAAAUGGUUUUAGUUAGAAGCAUACAGACCAGUGGGUGGUGCUCACAGAUGCCUCUAUUUUGUUGUAUGAAGUAAAAACAGUAUUUCCAUGUCCAGAAAUCAACCACUUGUUUAGUGCAUGCAUGGCUGGUUCAAAAUUAAACCUAAUUGUGAAUGACUAGGAGCAGGGAGGGAAAAAUUGAAGUGAAGAAUGUAAGAUUAUGGCUUCAUUUUUAUUUUUUCCUCUUCUGAAAAUUGUAAGAUUGUGUUAGGAGGAGCUGGAAUGGGUUCAAAUCAGGAAUUAAGACCCAGUUCCAAGACAUGGAAAGUGUCUUUAGAUUAUGUUAAGUUAUUUCCAUUUUUUUUUCUUUAUUUACGGUAAGAGGGAGCAUAAGGAACGAAAAUGAAUAUUUUUUUUUUUUCGAAUAAAAAUGAAUUUGAUAAUUUCAAUUAUUGUGUUUGGAUGUAUUUCGGAAUGUAAGAUUAAAAUAAUUAUUUGUUUUCAUUUUAGUGUUUGAUAAUAAUGAAAGUAUGAAUUAAAAAAUAAAUUGAUAAUAAUAUUCUUAUAUUUAAUUUAAAAUAUAUAUAUAUUUUUUAUUUUAGAAGAAUAUGGGUUAAAAGUUUUUUUUUUUUUUUAAAUAAUAAGCUUAAGAAAAAUAAUUUUUACUCAAUAAAUAAAAUUAAUCAUACAAAGUCAUAAAAACCAAACCAAAAUAUAAGGGUAAAAUAAUAAUUUUAAACUAUUCAUUUAAGUUAUCCAAAUGCAUUCCGACUCUUCAUUCUCUUAUACCAAAUACCGUCUUUAAGUAUUUGUCAAACUUAUUUUUUUGCAAAAUAUCAAUAUUUUACUAAUAUUUUUAUCGAUUAUUUGCCGAUAUUUAUCGCCACGUCACCAAUUCUUUGAGUUUGACUUUCAAAAUUUUGAAAUGAUCUUUGAAGUCCAGUUCAGCCCAAAUCACUACACCCAUGAACUCAUCUACAAAAGGGAACGGCUGGGCCACCACACUAAUAUGGCCCAUACAUGGGACCUCGUAAAAGAAUACCCAUCUUCAAAAAUAGGGACCAUAUUAAAUUAUUAAUGUAGCUAUAGGAAGCAUUUGAGGACAAGGGUUAUGAUUUUUCCCUUUUCUUUUUCUCCUUAAUUUUCACAUCACCCAACAACACCACUCUUAAUUCACACAAAUUUGAAGGUUUGGAAUGAGACUUCUUCAUAAUUAUAUUGUAAUUAUGUUAUAAUAACCAUGUCGUUUUUGGAUUUAUUUAUUCAGUCCAUCUAAAUCUUUUGUUUAUUCGCGUCAAAACAAUAUAUUUAUAAUCGAAUCCAUUUAUGACAUGUUCAUCUUUUAUAAAUUCAUUAAUUUUAUAUAUUUAAAAUUUAUAAAAGUUAAAUAUAUUUUUUCAAUUAUGAAUAUCAUAUUACUAAAAUAUUAAAUAACUAAUUAACUUGAAAUGUUUUAUAUUUCAUUAAUUAUUUUAUAAUUACAAAAUUAAGUGAAAUAAUAAAUAGGUUAAAAUAUAUAUUUUAUUUUAGUUAAAAAUUAUAAAUUGUUAUUGAGACACAUAACUACUAAAAUUCUACCCAUUUGACUAUCAAACAAACAACUUAAGUUUUUAGUCAUAAUUUAAGCUUAUGAUAAACUCUAUUUACAAAAAUUAGAAACCAAAAUCAAAUUCUUCCUAGACUCAAAAAUAUAAAGACAAUCUUUUAACUUUAGAAGAGAACUAUCAUCUAAGAUAAGGGUAACACAUCCCAUUGCCUGUACAACAAUUCUUGCUUCAAAAGCUAAUGUUAGGUACAUAUCCCUAUCAUUCAACCUUUCCCUUAGCUAAAACCCCUAUAAAGAAUUAUAAACAUGAUCAAUGGCUCCAAAAUUUAUCCACCAAGAGUUAGUGGAAUCUAAUACUAAACAUGAUUCAACUAAAAGAGAAUGAUGCAUACCUGACUGUCUCUUUAAGAACUAAGGGCAUUCCUUUUUCUAAUGGCCUUUUUUACCACAAAGGAAACAUUUGUCAUGACCCUUACUCUUCUUCUUCUUCUCUUGCCCUUGAACUUUCCCUUCUGUUUGGUGAAUUCUAUAAUGUUCUUAUUUUGGUUAGAAGAACCUAAAGAACACUUAACUGCCAUAUAAAUACCUCUCUGAUCCUUGAGAAUUCCCUCAAUCAUUUUGUGUUCUCUCAUCAGUUCGGUUAUAGUUUAAGAAAAAAAUUGUUUUUUUUAUGUGACUAAACUUGGAAUGAAUGUCCAAGUUGCAUACAUACUCGGGUUGAGAUCAAGUCAUAAUGUAGUUUAAGAAAAAUAUUUUUUAUUUUUUAUUUUUAUUUUUUAUCUGAUUGAACUUGGAAUGAAUUUCUAAGCUACUUACGUAUCCAGGAUGGGAUCAAGUUCUAACAUAGUCACAAUGCAGUUCAAGAAUUAUUUUUUUUUCUUUUUUUGUGCUCCAACUUUUGCCAAGACUAAAGAUCUUAAUUUUGCGAGCAUGUCCUAACUUUUGCCUAGGUCGCCUUUCCAAGUUUUCAAUUUAGCAAACUAGGUUUUUUUUUUUCUUUUUAGUUCUCUAACUUUUGCCAAGACUAAAGAUUUUAAUCUUGUAAGCAUGUCAUAACUUUUACAUAAGUCGAAUUUUUAGGUUUUCAUAGUGCUGGAUUUUUUUUUUGUUUUUUGUUUUUUUUUUGUGUCGUAGUCAAUUUAAGCUCAUAUGGGUUGGAAGCGAUGUGUAGUUUGUUGGGAUUGAGCCCUUAAAAGCAAGACAUGAUGUAAUAAAGUUAAACUUAACUAUCCCCUUACUAUCCUUUUGGUGUAUCAACAUUGAUUUAAACAUUCAACCCAUAUCUCUUACAUUGUAUAUGAUUUAGAAGCAUUAGGAGUUGUACAGAAGAUACAAGUUAUGUGUUCUUUGUAAGUAGGUGAGUUAUCCAUAGUCAUUUCAUGGAUUUGGGCAAUCUAGUAGAGACUAUAGUGCACCACCUCCUAAUUGAAGGGAUGACUUGUCUUGGCCGUUGGGAUGAGUUUCCUAUGGUGAGCGUACUAGUGUAUAUGAUGCACAUUGGAUAGGACCUAUGACAAAUCAUGAUGCAAGGCUAUCAAUUGUCAUGAUUCACCAAGUUACUAUACUACAUGGACUCUCAACCUUGAGAGGACAUUGAACCUGUGUCAAAAUCAAUAGAAAGUUUUGACCUAUGGGCGAGACCCUAAAGUAGUCAUAUAUCCUUAUGAAUUAGGUCAUUGUUGAUGGAGGCUAGUGAUAAUAGGCAUUCUCAAUAGAGGCACCAUGAUAUGUCAUGCGAUUGAGAUGGUGUGUCCCUUUGGGUGAUCCAAGGAACAUGUGAUCAUGAAAUUUGUGGCCACAGUAAUUCCUUUAGUGGAAUUUGACAUAUGCUCAAGGAUUUGAGAGAUAAUAUUGAUAGGUGAUAACACUAUCUUGUUAGAUUAUAGACACCAGUUUCAUGGGGAAUCUGCAUGUAGUGGAUAGUAGGUCAUGAAUGCGAGCUUUGUCUCGUUGUUAUUUACAUAAGGUACUGGAGUGUAGUUGAUUCUCUUUAGUAGAAUGUUAAAUCAACUUCAAAAUUGGAUUAUGAGGGAGCCAGUACUCCUAUGGGUCUCAAUGGUCCCCACUCUAAGCUUAUAUACCAUGAUGACAUAAUUUAUGAGGGUUGGAUUGGCUUUAGGUUCAUUCUUAUGCAUAAGGGCAUUUUGGUAAUUACUCAAGGUUGCAUAGGGGAUAAUAAAUAAGGUCUCUAGAUUGGACUAAUUGAUUAAUUAGAUGGCCUUAUGUGGUUAAUUAAUCAAUUAAGACAUGUUAGGGCUAGAUUAAGUGACUCAAGCCUUGAUGGGUUCAAGUCACUUAAGCCUAGUGGGUAACCGUAUAAAUACCCCCUUAUGGGUUAGGGUUUUCUAAUGACUUUUAGUUAGUCAUCUUCCACUUUUAGAAAAAUAGAGAGAGUCAAAGCUUCCUCCUUUCCACUGCCCACACUUUGGAAUGCCAAGAUCGUGGAUCGAGUCAUCGAACGAAAGAUCUUGGGUGUAUGAGACCUUCGAACUCUUUAGGCUUCUUCUUCGUUGGAUGGAUUUUGAUCUAGGAACAUCUAGAUCACAUGUAUGUGUUAUAAAAUUUGGUUAAUUCAACCUAAGGUAAUCAUCCUAGAGAAGGGGCGAAUAGGGUGAUGAUCUUUUUUUGAAAAUUUAAAUUAUGUGAAUGCAAGAGACAAUUAUAUGCAAAAUAUAUAGCAAAACCAUAUAAAAACAAUUGCAUAUAAAGUAAAAGGGUAAGGAAGAGAGAAAAUAAACACAAGAUUUUUAUAGCGAUUCAGUGCAACCCGACCUUCAUCCAUUCUCCUCUAGCUUCAAUCCCAAACUUGAGGUUCCACUAAUUUAAGGCUUCCAACCCAAGCCUUCAAGCAAUACAAUCGGAUUAUGGUUCCAAUCAAACCUCUUGAAAUUUUAGUUCUAAGCACAUUUUACAAUCUUCAAGAGAUACCUCACUCUUAAACAACUCCUUAAGUGAUACCCCACACUUGAGAAUCCCUAAGUGAUACCUCACACUUAGAUUUUUCAUCUCAAAGAUUUAUAAAUGAAGAUAGGAAAUUGUUAGCCCAAGGGCUCUCCUAAUCGGGUUUUGAUGAUAAAAAAUCAUGGUUAAAUGACUAAUUGGUUUAAUGGUUAAGAAUCUCAGGCAUAAACUUGAAAAUUCAUCAAAAGACCAAAUGGAUACAAGAUCGAGACGUUUGGAAGACUUGUGAUCAUAGGAAACUAAUGUAAGAUGAAUGCAUGAGUACACUUAGGAUUUUCAUACCGUUUCAUGCAAUUUAGAAAACUCGGUUUAUUCUUUAAAACUUCAAUUUCAUUAAAACUUGAGUUUUAACAAAUGUACCUUAGGCAAAAUGUUUUAAAAUUGGCAUAAUAAUUCACCUAAAAACCUUGCUUAAGUGUUAGAAAAGAAAGGAAUUGAAAAAUAUAGGUUUUCGGGGCCAAAAGGCUCAACCGAUCGAGGCUAUGACCAACCUGCUCAACCGGUUGGGGAAUCGGUCGACCGGUUGCCCCUGUCCGGUCGAGGUUCGAUAGAGGGAUGCACAAAAUUUUCUUUCUCUCCCAGUAGCCUUCUCUUCUCGGUCGAGGUCUGGUUGAGGACCGAUCAAGGUUCGAUCGAGGCAACGGUAACCUGUCAAGCAUUAAAUGUUCCAACGGCUAGUGAACCGGUCAACCCCUAGCUCGACCAGUUGAGGUUACCUUUUGCUGUUUUUGGCUCCCGAGCUUAGAAACCUAUAAAUUGAGAGCUCCACUUUAUUUAUUGACGAGAGAACACUUGCAAUCAAUUGUCUACCUACCUGUUCUUGAUCAAAAAACUCUCAUUUCUUUCUUUGUGCAUUAAAUCAUCACUUGCAUAUCCUUUAGUGCACUCUUAUGUGUCAUCCUAGCUUUGUCUUAUAUUUGAGCUAUCCUUAAGCUAGGUUGAGGGAUUCAUUCUUGUAAAAACUGAGUGUCAAAGCCUUCAAGAGGUUUAAAUCUUGAAGAGAUUGUGUAAGAGCCCAUUGGAGCCAGAAUCCAAGUGUAAGAAGAUUGGAAGCUUGGUUGAAGCUUCAAGUUAGUGGAACCCUCACUCGGUUAAAAGAUUGAGGAGAGUGGAUGUAGGGAAGGAAGUGUCGAACCACUAUAAAACCCAAGUUUGAAUUCUCUAACUCUAUCUCUUUAUUUUGCUUAUAUUGUGCUUGAACUCGUUGUGAUUGAAAAGAAUUUAAAAAACCCAAUUCAUCUCCCUCCCCCCUUUUAGGUGUUUUUCUUAAUUAAGCAUAGCAUUUAUUUUCUCAAUUGGUAUCAGAACUAGACCUCUUGUUUUUUUUUUUUUUUUAAAAAAAAAAAUUAAUCGUCUAAGAGGAUAUGACUAUUGCAUCAAGCUCAUCUCAAGCUAAAAUUUUUUCAAAACAUAGAGCUUCAUUCUUUACGGGAUCCGACUAUCCCUAUUGGAAAACUAGAAUGACUUGGUACUUACAAUCUACUGAUUUAGAUGUAUGAGACGUCAUUGAAGAUGGCCUAACUUUUCCCACUAAACUAGUUGAUGGAGUUUUGGUUCCAAAACCCAAGCAAGAAUGGAAUGAGCUUGAUAGAAAAAACUUUCAAUUAAAUGCUAAAGUCGUUUUUACUUUGCAAUGUGCUAUGGAUAGAAAUGAAUAUAAUAGAAUAUGUCAAUGCAAAUCGGCUAAAGAAAUUUAGAGGUUGCUUGAAAUAACUCAUGAAGGAACUAAUCAAGUGAAAGAGUCAAAAAUUAAUUUACUUGUUCAUAACUAUGAAUUGUUUUCAAUGAAAAAAAAUGAUACUAUUGUUGAGAUGAUUACUAGGUUCACCGACAUUGUCAAUGGUCUUGAAGCUUUGGGAAAAACCUACAAGGAAUCCGAGAAGGUGAUGAAGAUAUUGAGGUCUUUCCCAUCAAAGUGGCAUACCAAGGUCACUGCAAUUCAAGGAGCAAAAGACUUGACUAAGCUACCUAUGGAAGAGCUCAUAGGGUCAUUAAUGACAUAUGAGAUCAAUUUGACAAAGAAGCUACAAGAGGGUAAAGACAAAAAGAAGAAGAACAUAACCCUCAAAGCUAUAACCAAGGAAGAAGAAGAUGUUGAAGAAGAAAAACCAAGUGAUGAAGAUGAUGAUUUAGCCCUCAUCACAAGAAAGCUCAACAAAUACAUGAGAGGUGAAAGGUUUAGAGGAAGAAAGUUCACCUCUAGAAGAGAUCCUUCUAAAAAGGAAUCUUCAUCCCAUGGUGACAAGGAGAAAUGAGAAGAUAAAAGAGAUUUGAUAUGCUUCAAAUGCAAAAAACUGGGACACAUUAAAUAUGAUUGUCCACUCUACAAGAGUGAAGCCAAGAGAAGAAUGAAGAAGGCAAUGAUGGCCACUUGGAGCGAAAGUGAAGAAUCCUCCGAAGAAAAAAAGGAGAAGGAAGUAACAAACAUGUGCUUCAUGGCAAUAGAUGAUCUUGAUGAGGUAAACUCUAACUUUAGUGAUGAAGAUAUGUAUGAUGUUUUUGAAGAAUUAUAUGAGGAUUUUGAAAAACUUAGUUUGAAAAAUAAUUCUCUUAAAAAUAAAAUUCAAGAACUUGAAAAAGAACUUGAAGAAGUAAAAGAAAAAGUUUCAAUUGUUGAAAUAUCUAAAACUCAUCUUGAAAAAGAAAAUAAGAUUUUGAGAAGUGAAAAUGAGAUUUUGAAAAAGAAAAAUGAAUGGUUGACCUCCUCUCUUUCAAUUUUCUCUUGUGGAAAAAAAUAUUUUGAAAUGAUCUUAGUUAGCCAAAAAUGUAUUUUUGACAAACAAGGGUUAGGAUUCAAAUCUUCAAAAAAUCAAAAGUAUUUUAAAAACUACUUUGUAAAAGAAUCCGCAAGUGUAAGUCAUUCUACCACUUGCAACUUUUGUAGAAGAGGAGGAGACAUUAGUAGUACAUGUCUCUUAAGAAAUGGUUCUCAAAAGAAUUCAAAUGCUAAAGCUAAAAAGGUUUGGGUUGAGAAAUCCAAAGUCACUAACCCUCAAGGACCCAAAAAGAUAUUGGUACCUAAAUCAACUUAAAUUUUAUUUUGUAGGGUUCAAAGAAGGAUAAGUGGUUCUUGGAUAGUGGAUGCUCAAGACACAUGACCGGGGAUGAAUCCAAGUUUGUUUUCCUUACAAAGAGAAAGGGAGGAUAGGUUACCUUUGGAGACAAUGCAAAAGGAAGGAUCAUUGGUCAAGGCAACAUUGGUAAUGACACAUCCUCUCUUAUUGAAAGUGUUUUAUUAGUGGAUGGUUUAAAACAUAAUCUUUUGAACAUAAUUUAACUUUGUGACAAAGGUUUUAAAGUGAUUUUUGAAGCAUUUCAUUGCAUUAUCAAAGAUAUUCAAAAUGAUAAAACCAUCUUCAUGGGCCAUAGAUGUGAUAAUUUUUAUGCUAUAAAUAUUUCAAAUAUGAUGGCCAUGGUAAAUGUUUUUCAAGCAUGCAUGAUCAAAGUUGGUUGUAGCAUAGGAGGUUGGGACAUGCUAACAUGGACCUCAUUUCCCAACUCAACAAAGAAGCACUUGUUAGAGGCCUUCCCAAAAGAAAUUUUCAAAAAGACAAAGUUUGUGAAGCUUGUCAAAUGAGAAAGCAAAUCAAAAACUCUUUUAAAAACAAAAAUUUCAUUUCAAUAACUAGGCCUGCAUAUGGAUUUAUUUGGUCCCUCUAGGACACCAAACCUUGGAGGAAAAUCUUAUGCAUUUGUUAUUGUGGAUGACUUCUCUAGAUACACUUGGGUCUUAUUUUUAAGUCAAAAGAAUGAAGUCUUUUUUGAGUUUUCAAAGUUUUGCAACAAGGUUCAAAAUGAAAAAGGUUUUACAAUUUCUUGUAUAAGAAGUGAUCAUGGAGGAGAGUUUGAAAAUAUUGAUUUUGAAGACUAUUGCAAUGAGCAUGGUAUUAACCACAAAUUUUUGGCUCCUAGAACUCCUCAACAAAAUGGGGUAGUUGAAAGGAAAAAUAGAACUCUUCAAGAAAUGGCUAGAACCAUGCUAAAUGAAAACAAUUUACCAAAAUACUUUUGGGCCGAAGCAAUUAACACUUCUUGUUAUGUUUUAAAUAGAAUUUUAUUGAGGCCUAUUCUUAAAAAAACUCCCUAUAAGCUUCGGAAAAACAAGAAACCCAACAUUAGCUAUUUCAAAGUCUUUGGGUGCAAAUGCUUUAUAUUAAAAACCAAAGACAAUCUUGAAAAUUUUGAUGCAAAAUCGGAUGUUGGAAUUUUUCUUGGUUACUCAACUUUAAGUAAAGCCUUUAGAGUUUUUAACAAAAGAACCAUGGUUGUUGAGGAGUCCAUCCAUGUUAUUUUUUAUGAAUCUGACAAUUCUCUCCAAGAAAGAGAGAGCUUUGAUGAUGAUUUAGGCUUGGAGACCUCCAUGGGAAAAUUACAAAUUGAAGAUAGAAGGCAACAAGAAGAAGUUGUAGAGGAUCCCAAGAAAGAAGAAUCACCUUUGGCACUACCUCCUCCUCAACAAGUGCAAAGUGAAUCAAGCUAAAACCUUCCUAAAGAUUAGAAGUUUGUCAUCAACCACCCACAAAAUCAAAUUAUAGGUAAUCCAUCUAGUGGGGUAAGAACUAGAUCAUCUCUUAGAAACAUUUGCAAUAAUCUUGCUUUUAUCUCUCAAAUUGAACCUAAAAAUAUAAAUGAUACUCUAGUUGACGAAAAUUGGAUGAUUGCUAUGCAAGAAGAGUUAAAUCAAUUUGAAAGAAGUGAAGUAUGGGAAUUAGUGCCAAGACCUCAAAAUCAAAGUGUUAUUGGAACUAGAUGGGUCUUUAGAAAUAAAAUGGAUGAAAAUGGCAUAAUUAUAAGGAAUAAAGUAAGAUUGGUAGCCCAAGGUUUUAAUCAAGAAGAAGGGAUAGAUUAUGAAGAAACCUUUGCUCUCGUAGCUAGAUUGGAAGCCAUUAGGAUGCUACUUGCCUUUGCACGUUUUAAAGACUUUCUUUUAUAUCAAAUGGAUGUGAAAAGUGCUUUCUUAAAUGGCUUUAUAAAUGAAGAGGUAUAUGUUGAACAACCACCCGGUUUUCAAAGUUUUAACUUUCCUAAUCAUGUUUUUAAACUUAAAAAUGCACUUUAUGGUUUGAAACAAGCACUUAGAGCAUGGUAUGAAAGAUUGAGUAAAUUUCUUUUGAAAAAGGGUUUUAAAAUGGGAAAAAUUGACACAACUCUUUUCAUAAAAAUAAAGAAAAUGACAUGCUCUUAGUGCAAAUAUAUGUUGAUGAUAUCAUUUUUGGAGCUACUAAUGUCUCUCUUUGUGAAGAAUUUUCUAAAUGCAUGCAUAGUGAGUUCGAAAUGAGCAUGAUGAGAAAACUUAACUUCUUCCUUGGACUUCAAAUCAAGCAACUAAAGGAAGGAACCUUCAUCAAUCAAGCAAAGUAUAUAAGAGAUCUCCUCAAAAGGUUCAAUAUGGAGGAAGCGAAAACAAUGAAGACUCCAAUGAGUUCAUCCAUCAAGCUUGACAAGGAUGAGAAAGGUAAGUCCGUUAACUCAACUAUGUAUAAAGGCAUGAUAGGUUUUUUGCUAUAUUUGACCGCUAGUAGACCUGACAUCAUGUAUAGUGUAUGCUCGUGCGCUAGAUUUCAAUCUUGUCCUAAAGAAUCUCACUUAAGUGCCGUAAAAUGAAUUCUUAGAUAUUUAAAAGAGACAAUGGACAUAGGCCUAUGGUAUCCUAAGAGUGAUAACUUUGAAUUAAUUGGAUUCUUAGAUGCCAACUUUGCCAAUUGUAAAGUUGAAAGGAAAAGCACUAGUGGCACUUGUCAUUUCCUAGGACACUCACUUGUUUCAUGGCAUAGUAAUAAGCAAAAUUCGGUAGCCUUGUCAAAGGCGGAAGCAGAAUACAUAGCAGCUGGUUUAUGUUGUGCACAAAUCCUUUGGAUGAAACAAACACUUAGUGAUUUCAAUUUGAUUUUUGAGCAUGUUCCUAUUAAACGUGAUAACAUUAGUGCCAUAAAUAUUUCAAAAAAUUUGAUGCAACACUCUAGGACUAAGCAUAUAGAGAUUAGACACCAUUUUCUUAGAAAUCAUUUACAAAAAGGUGACAUUACACUUGAAUUUGUAAGCACAAAAGAUCAACUUGCCGAUAUUUUUACAAAACCUCUAAGUGAAGAGCAAUUUUUUUAUAUUAGAAGACAACUAGGGGUGAUUUCUUUAUAAUCAAAUGAUUACUUGAUGAAUUCUUGAUUGAAUAUACCUUAUGAUUGCGUGAAUUUCACAUCAUAUGCAUCAUAUAGAAAUAAUCUUAGGAAAAAGGUCAAAUUUUGACCAAAAAUCAAAAUUCCCUUGGCAUUGGAUAUCAAAAAUUGGGGAUUUCAACUGAAAAGGGCAAGGGAAGGAUCACGAGACAAGCAAAAGCCAAAAAAUUAGAGCGUUGACCAUUGACCAUUGACCAUUGACCAAGCGGUUCGUCGGGGCUGGGAAUUUAAAGAGACCCCCGCGCUUUAUUUUUUUCACUAUUCCCCUCAAUUCCUUGAAAACUCUUCACAUACCUGCUUCCAGAGACCACUUUGGGUUGAAUCUUGGACCAUUUGAAGGGCUUGGAGUUGUUUUUGGGACGUUUUUAAGACUAGGGUUUCAAUCUGAAACCUAAGGUUUCCAUUUUUAGGAGCAAUUCCUCUCAGACCACGUGCAUCAGCCAGGCUCAACUCCUUCUCCUUGCGCUUAGGGCUUCCGGUUGGAUUUCAUUCUCUCUUGUUUGGUUUCAUUCUCUCUUCAAACUUCUUUUUCUUCAUUUUCCGUUCUUUGGAUGGCGCCUAGGAGAGAGACAACUACCUCUAGGGCUCAGGGCAAGCGCCCUGCUGAGCCAUCUCAACCUGAGCAGAUGGAGGCUCACCGAAAGGCGAGGUAUGACACGACCCUCUGUGGACCCGCAUUUUUCACGUGCGUCCCCACUCGAUCGGCGAGACUCGCUUUUUAUUUGUGAAAAAUUGAUCUUUAAAAAAAAAAAAGUUGGAGUCGCCACCUAUUUUAUUUUUAUUUUGAAGGGAAAAUAAAACAAGAAAGAAAAACCCUAAAAAGUGACUCCAUGGUUUUGGAAAAAGCAUGUCUUUGAGAAACCCGAGUCUAAGUCCGGGGAUCAGGUUACUUAUUGGGAAGGUACCUCUAGGAGGUAGCACCCCUCUAAGCCCUAAAAAGGUCUCUACUGACUAAGUUAAGGGAAGCGUGGCAAUUAAAUGGUUGAUCAUGGAUACCUAAGUAGGCUAGGUGAUUCCAAAAACAUAACAUAUCAAACAAGAUCAAAUCACAAUUAAGGAGAGUUAAAAAUGCGUACCUGGACGGCUUCCCAAACGCUAUCAUAAAACAUAAGAGAUUAGUUUGGAGAUACAUCACACAACAUUUGUUUUACUCAAGCAAAUCAGGCAUAUAUCAAGACAUUCAAGAAUCACGUCAAAUAUGGAUAUGGUCAUCAAUGACAUACAAGUCCAUAGAAUUCUCGAAAAAAGGAUGAAAAUGAGCGUACCUGGAUAGCAAGCUAGAGCGCCUUUAUGGGAAACAAGGUUAACCCAAUAACAAAUUCAAGCAUAUCUCCAAGAAGAAUCAAAAUCAAUUGAAUACCAAAAAAUCAUCUUUAAAAUCAAUAUUAGUGAAGAUAUUAGGAAUGUAGGACCCCCCACCAAAGUCCAUAUUACUUUUGCACGAAUUGAUUCAAUGAAUUCCAUUAUUUGGAAUCGUGAAGCUUAUUCAUGCUUGUCAAAAAUCGAGAAAAUCAUAAAAUAGUUGAAGAUGAUGAAAAUGCAUGCCGGAAGGGAAAAUGGCAGCAAAUAGUAUGUUAAAAUUUGGAUUUUAUGCCUAGAGACUUCUCAGGAAUUUUAAAUAAAACUAGAAUUAUUUUUUACGGGAAAAGAUUUUGAAAUCCAGAUUUAAAAUGUGUAAGAUAACAAAAAGAAUAAGGAGAAACAUUAGGAGUAUGGUGUGUGGCAAGGUGACCACUAUAUGAGUGAGGUCUGGAGGUGCACUUGAGACUAAAUGGUUGAAACAGAUUGCAUAGGGAGCAUUCUGUACACCACUAGUUGUCUAGAAAGAAACUGAAUGUGUUCGUUUCCGAGCCCAUGUUCACCGGAGUUUAGGGUGCCACCUCAUUUAAAAAAAAGGGCUUCAAUACAACUCUAGUUUCUCAAGAUCACAAUCUGAAUUAUCAACAGAAGCUUCUGGUGAAGACAUAAUGCUCAAUUUCAGAUUAAAUUUCCUGUUCUAUAACUCGUUUUCUCUGAAUUUUCCUUUAAUGUCUGUGCUUUCUGAUCAUAUAAGUUGCCCGUCUGGUUCCUUGUUUGAGACUCUGCCGAACCUGGAAUAAUGCUUCUAGGUCUAGCUGAGGGGACCUACACCCCUUUUCAUGGAACCUGAGGCAUGCGUUAAUUCGAAACUCUAUUACUUUGCCUUCCAUUGCUUUAAGUCUUUUAGCCAUCUCAGCCACAAAUCUGGAGAUUCAUUUAUCUUUCUUUAAUAUUCAAGCCAAAUGUCAAUCCAGUCCGCUUAAACCCCGAUUUGAAUGAUUUUGAACCCUCUUUUUGCGCUCUUGAUGUUUUUCAUUUCAACUACAAUGACAAACCACCCUUCGAAAAAAGAAGAAAUCUGGACCAAAUCCUAAACUUUUAAUUCACAACUUCUUGAGCCUGACUCUGAGUCGACACAAUUGAAUCACCUUGGAUAAGAGUGCUUCUAAAAAUCCUCCAGAAUGUAGGCACAAGUGCAGCGUUCGUUAAUAAUGUCCAUGGCAUGUCACAAAGGAAAGCUUCUUUUUUUAUAAUCAUCAACGCAAAUUGACUCUUAAUGGACCCCAUUGCCAGCGUCACAUCAAAGACUGGACAGAUAGGGAGAUUCACAAUUUCGAUAGCUAUCUUUGCAUUAUUUGGGCAGGGCAACCAUGUUAUGGAUAUAUAGCUCGAAGGUGACUUGCGUUUUGUUCUGUAUCAUCAGUAGCAGCCUCAAACCCGCCAUAGGUUUGAGUGGUAUUAAAAGACUCAACAUGAUCAGCUGUAGGUGAUCGAGCAGCCAAUUCAUCAUUGAGCAAAUCAAUAAAAGCUUGGAUAUCGUUGCCGAGUGGCCUAAAAUCAUUAGAUAAAUCAUUAAAGUCAUUAAGUAUAUUACUGAUCUCCAUGAAAACCCUCCUCCUUGCUUCUGUAGAGCGAACACAAGCUGCCACUAAAAUUGGUUAGCCCGGAUUGCUAAUUUAUGCAUCCAAUCACCAUCGAUUUCUCUUGUCCUUUUUGGAACUUCUGGAAUAUGGAUGAAACCUGUGAAGAAUGUGGUGGAAUUGCGGUCUGCAAGCACGAAGUUUCCAGUUACUUGAAAUGCUUCGAAAUCAUGGUUCCAGUUUACAUCUACAGGCAUUGGCUCAAGUAAGUUCGUAUCAGCUUGGGUGGCUUUCGAUUCCAAAAGCUCUAACAACAACAUGAUUCUCAAAUAUCCGAACAGCAAUGUCCAAAAUUGAAUCAAGAAAAUUCUUUAGCAGCAGUAUGUGUUGUCCCUGCUGGAGCCAUCACAGGAGCAACUAAGCUAACUGCCAAAAAGGUUCUAGCCAGUGAGAUCCCAUUCUGACGUUUCGGUUUUGGUGACUGAUAGCUUUCUAAUUGUCCCUGCAAAUAAUGUAAACCAAUAGUUCCAUUGAAUGGAUUGUCAUCCAGAGCAAGGAUCCGAAUACUUGUAAGGCCAUCAACGAAAUCAGCGAGGGUGGUGUCGACUUCGUUGUAAUCGAAGAAGGCGAGUUGCAAUUCAGACAAUCUGCGAGAAGAAGGCAAUUUUCCAUUGAAGUGGUUCAUCUGAAACCCCAAAUUGCAGAGCAUUGAAAGCUGGUUGAAGUUUUGAGGGAGAGGUCCCUUUAAUCCCAAUCCCUUAACUUGAAUCUGUGUAACUCUGUCACCACUAUAAAAUACACGAGGCCACAAAUUUGACUCCACCCGUUGGCUCCUUUCCUUCAUUCAUUCGCUUUAACAAGUCACAUUUAAUUCCAAAGAAUAUUAUAUAAUCUUCAAGUAUGUUCAAAUCAGAGGGCUCUAGUCCGUUAACCUUUACACUCUCUAGCAGGUUCUGUUCUUGUCUCUUCCUAUUAUACAGAAGUUCAAGCAAGUUUCAUAAAGCCUGAAUUUCUACACGUAGCCACUACUGGGGUCAGGUUUAUCCAAGUGUGCUGCUCCAACAGAAUUAUCGAUGUGUCAGUUUCUCUAAAAAUCACCUUGUGAAUCAAUCCACAAUACCGAGGCAUCCCAUCAUCAGAACUUCCUAAGCUUUCAGCAAGUAGGCAAGCAUUUAUGCUUGAGUCAACUCUACCGAUGACAACAAACCCAUCCAAAUCAAACUUCAUAGCUGUUUCUUCUUUUCCAUUAAUAUCAACUGGUAUCCUUUCUAAAAGAAUGCUUUUCUUAUGACGACAUGACAGUAAAACCCUUUUGCGAGAAUGGCUCAGAGUUUUGAUCAUCAUCUGAUUCUAUUGUAUUACUGGAAUGAUUGCUUUGGUAAAUGGAAUUCAACAGAAUCCACACAUUCAUGACUCUAAAAUUCAGCUUACUAGCAACCAGAUGGAACACACAUUUUCUGGUUCAGGCAUUCGUUUCUGGUCAGAUUCAUGGUAUCUUAGCGGUGCAACAGACGAUGCAGCAACCUCUUCUAGAGUGCCUUUUAUGAGCCUCAAGAGCAAAGGCCAAUGAUAGAUGAAGCGGUCCCUCUGCACUACUUGGGCUUCUGAUUCAGAAGUUAUCAUGAAGCCAACGAACAAGCAGAGUGAACGCAUUUGCAGUCAACCUUAAAAUUUCUAAUAUUGUCAGCAGGCCUGAUGGUAAAAAAACGAAAGUAGGGGAGCCUUAUUCAAGAGGAUCAUUGCGAACACUGUCACGUGUUAUUGGUGAGCUUGUUGGCAUCUUGUUUUGGGCAGAAUAAUGAGAUCCUUCAGUUAAUUAGAGAUCCAUAUCAACUAAACACCAGAAUCAUGGAUUUCCCAUGCUUUCUACUGGACAACGAUUGUCAGUUCUUUCUCUUGUUCACUUCUACUGGCAGUGGCUUGACUCUCCAACAAAACCCCUGAUGCACCCUGUAGCUCCUCAUUUAAUUCUGGAUUCUUAUCAGCAUCGCUUUCUUCUCCCUUUUGAGACUCUUGGAGUAUGAAAAAGAAAACUUGUGAAGAAUAAGGUGGAAUAUCCCAGCAAUGCAGUAUGGUAGGACCCAUUUGAGGGGGAACCCUGCAUUCAUCACUCUCACCUCCAGUAGCAUUAGAUGCUUGCUGGACCCAAUUCAGCCAGUCUCUGCAUAUUGACUCUCAAUAUAAACGUUUAGAAAUAACAAUGACUUCAUUUCUACUGCCUUGUUUAGACCUUCCUUGAUCAAUGUCUACCUUCAUUUCUCACAAAUUCUGGUUCUACUAUUAAAGUUCUGCCCCCAGUCCGUUUUGCAAAGCAUAAGCUAAUUUUAUAUUUGUAUAAUUCCAUCUUAACACACAAGUCCGUCGUAGCCUUUCCUGAGAAGUUAGAGAAGUUGCUUUUCUGAUAUAAAAAAGCCUUUCAGAACCAUGCUGAAGCUCUGAAUGUUGAUAGUUUUCCAUUGCAACUGAUAUGAGCUCCUCAUCGGUAGUGUCACAAGAAUGAUUCCAUGAGAAGUUUCUUGUUGCAUCACCUUUUUUAUGUAUUCCAACCCCAACUGUUGAGUUUCUUGAAAUUGAAACUACGGAACUUAGUUAUUUUGAAUUGUUUGCAUCUGUAGUGAUAAAUCACUGGAAGAGACAAUCAUAAUUUAGGCACUUGAUUUCCGUUUCGGUCGAACUAACAGCUUCGUAACUGUUAAUCUCAAGGUCAGAUUCAUGCUCUUGUUUCUCAAUUUCCUCUUCCCAUGAGAAUUUUUUUCAUAACAAUCGAAUGAAUUCUUAUAACUCCCAAAAGUUUCUAGCUUUUGCUGAUCAUGGAGGUGCCUCACAAUACUUGUCAUUAUACUCACUUUGGAAUUUUUCUGGUCCAUGUUCACUUUGAAUGAAUGUAUCCCUAAAGGGGGUAUUCAAUGACUGCCCAUAAUGAGUUACAAGUUCCCCAAAAUAGAAUAUAAUGAUCGUCGGCCUUACAGUACUGCUGUUUUAAAAUUUUCUGCUCGCUGAACAGUCAUAGUUCAAACCAUCAAUAUCAAAAGGCUUUCCCAGGCACUCAUCUUCAGAACCAUAAGGCCAGCAAGUCUGCAACCGUUUGAGUUGGGUAAAAAAGAAAGUCCUAAGCAGUGGAAGUGCACAGCAUGAUGCUGUCAAGUUUCAAUAACUUAAAUAUUGGCCAACUUAAGCCAGACCAUAUUCCUCAAAAAUCCAUUCUUCCUCUGCUCAUGUAAACUUGUAAUGCUGUCAGAAAUCCUGUCUUCAGAAUAGCAACCCUGACAAUUGAGUAUGGAAAGCAGAAUACCCAUGUGCUUCCAACUAAGCUUUUUACAACCAUCCUCAUAAACUGAGGCGUGCCAUUCUAAAGAAAAGGCAGAGUCUUUUAGAAAUCACAAUACUUCUGAAGCAGCUUGAAUUAGCAUAUUGCAGUAAUUGGAAGUCGGAUUGACUGAAACAGGGGCUCGAACGCAUCCAUCUGUAAAUCUUACAGACCGACCACCCUCAGAGAAAAGGUCUCCAAAAAAAAGGCUUCAGCUUCAUGACAAACAGCAUUCUCUGUUUCAGAGUUGCAACUGCCCCUGUUAUACUACUCCUGUGCACUUCAGCAUUUAUUCUUUAGUUAUACCGUCCCUUUAGAUAGCAUCUAUCCCACACCGUGAAGCAAGCAAGGUUCACUAUAAUAGGAUCUAGUAGCAGCAACAAACGGGUGAUCCUGGAGAUAUUUUAAACUCAACUUCAUCAACAUCUUCAGCGUGCACUUCUGUUGGAACACAAGCGAUAGUAGCAGUGAAAAAAAAAGUGUUGUACUGAUCCCGUUAGGAUUGCAGCCCAGAAUACCACGAACAGAGAGCCCCAAAAAUUGAAGCAACUCUGCAUCCAACUAAAUCACAUCUAGAACCCGGUUUAACGACUUUCUUGUCUUGAAGAGGAAAUACCCAAUCUGACUCAACAAUCUGUUAUCAUGUGCCAAACCCCACAAACAGCCCACAUUCUACGCAGCCUUUAUAAAGUCUCUACCUUUCAUGAAAUACUCAUGCCAUCAUUGUCUCCAUAGCCCAGAACACCAAAGUAAAGAAGAGGAAGAAGCGUAGAUAUAGAAGCACAAAAAAAGAAACCGAACAAAGAAAGAAAAAAAAAAAAAAAAAACGAAAACAGGGGAAUGGAAGGCAAUGGGUGGGAAAUCUGAAUAAGUCACAUUUCAUUAUUUUCAAAAGGGCUUUGAAGAAUCUGAACACAUUAGGACAAGCUUAGUUAAAAUUAUAUCAGGAUUCCACAAACAUUAAAAUUCAAACAUAAGUCUCUGUUUCAGCUAUUUAUAAAAAGAAUCAAAGAAAUCAAGAACACAAUCAUAAUAGAGCAAGUUUGAAGGAAAUUUCGAUUCAACAACGCAAAUAAAUGGCCCUCAAUGUCCACUCCAAUCAGCAAGAACAACUUCCCGAAAACAGCCAGAGAAUCUCAAGUGAAUGUAAACGGGAAUACCAAAAUAAUAAAAAAAAUAACAGGAAGCGUACCUGGCAGAACCUUGGCUGCAAUCUCCCUCUCUUUCUGCUCUUCUCUCCGCACUUUUUCUUCAAGAUCUCUCUUUUUCUCCUUUUUCUCCUUUCUUUCUUUUCUUUCCUUCUUCCUUUUCUUUCCUUCUCCCUCUCAAGCCCAAAAAUCCUAUCUCUCCCUCCGGAUCUCUCCAAAAAAAAAUCCCCAUGCGUGCUGCCAGUCCCACUUUUCAAAAAGAAAACAUCUUGCUGAAAAGGAAAAUCCUACUUCCUUUUCUCCUUUCUUUCCUUUCUUUCUUUUCUUUCCUUCUUCCUUUUCUUUCCUUCUUGUAGCCGAUCCCCACAUGGAAGAAGUAUAUGUGCUGUCCCUCUAAAAAUCAAAAUCUCCUCUUUUCAAAAUUCCGUUGAUUUUCCUUCCAAAUAAAUGGCGGUUCGUUUCCUCAUGCCCAAAAAAUAAAUAAAAUAAAAAAAUAAAAAUAAAAAAAAUAAAAAAUAAAAAAUUAAAAAAAUUAAAAACAAAAAUAAAAAAAAAUCAAUCACAUGCAAGCCAUACGAGCUAUGUAACCACCAAAGGAAUAUGAGUUAUGCAACCAUGCAAAAACACGAGCCAUGCAACCAUGCAAACCAUGCAAAAACAUCUAAAGGUGACCUAGGGUGUGUCCUAGUGCGCUAGGGCAAACGAAAUGGACUAAGUGUGCUUAAAAGCUAUCCUAAAAAAAAGAAAAGCCUACGACUAAGUUAGGGCUGCCAAGGGUCACAAUAAGGGAUCAAAUAAUCCCUCAACCAAAAUCUCCGAGGUGACUCAGAAAAAGGUUAGUGGUAUGAGUAGCCAUGGGCCACCAAGGAACUAUGGGGCACUGAAAACGAAUUUAAAGACAUGUGCUAAAGGGACAAAAUUGAGGGUCUACACCCUCUUCAGUUCUGUUGAAGAUUAUCAAAGAUACAAGCAAAAAUUCUCCCAGAGGAAACUAGGGAGAAAUAUCAAUUUCUCCCAACUUUAGUACUUCGGGUUUGAGGGACUCUUUAGUCGGAUGGGAUAACUGCCAGUUGUGAUGAUUUUCGAGCCGAUCUUCCUGACUCUGGUGCGGGCAUUUUAUUCAUAGGUGACUUAUGGACUUGGAGGACCAGUCAUGUCCACUAUUAGAGGUGUUGAGAUCAGACUGAGCCCGGAGAGCAUUUUCCGCAUUCUCGACAUUCCUUUAGUUGGACUCCGGGUGUAUGAGUCCAAGGUUUGGCCCACUGUGCCGGGAUUCGAGCCUAGAGAGGCUAUUCAGAGGCUGUGCGGACUUGUAGAUGCUGAGGGGAUGGACAAACCAUCGGCACAUAGCCUGACCGUGACCAGCCAAGUCCUUCAUCACAUGAUUUGCUCCUAUUGCCACAAGGCGGGUAUCGAGAUGAGAUUUCCUACCUGGAUGCUUUCAUAGUGGACACCAUUCUAAUGGGGAGAUGGAUUCAUGUAGGGUAUUUGAUGAUGAUGCAUAUGAUAUCCUACUAUGAGAGCACGACCCGAGUACUCCCCUACAGACGCUUCCUCACUCGAGUAUUCAAGGAUGUCGGGGUCGAUUUGAGUAGAGAGACGAACUUCGAGGCCCUUACUAGCUAUGAUACUUACGAUGAGCAGUCCUUGGAGCGGAUAAAGUUUGAGAAGGCCCUCGAUGGCUCCUGGAUUAGGAGAGUUGAGCGAGCUCCAGCAUAGGCCCGGGGACAAGGAUAGAUGCAUCCCGGAGUAGAGGAGGAGGCUGAGAUCAAAGAGAUGGAGGAUGGGUUAGACCCAAGGAUUGAAAUAUCGAUAAAUAUGGAUAUAUCGGUACUUGGAUUUUACGGAUAUAUCGGAAAUAUCGGAGAAAUAUCAAUGGAUAUUUUUCAUCAAAUAUCGGUGAGACAAAAAUUAUCCAAAAUUGAUGGGAAUGCUUAGAAAAAUCCAAAGAAUGAUAAAAUAAGCAAGAAUAUACAUGUUAAAGUUAUUUUAUGAGUGUAAUUGACAUAAAUAUGGUAUAAAAAAAAUAUAUAUCGGUAAACAGUUUACGAUACUUGGAUUUUAAGAAAAGAAAAUAUGAAAUUUGGAAUUGUACACUUAAAAAGUUAGAAUUGAGUUAAGAAAUAUUUGAUUUUAUUAAAUGAAAAAAAUUUACACAUAAACAUAAUACAUAUGACAUUGCAAUGGUCCUUAAUACCAAAAUGAAGAUCGAUGUGGUUCCAUCAUAUUGUUAUUGUUAGAUGAAGGGAGCCCAUCUUGUUGAAGACAAUAUUCAUACCAGGACAUGGAGUUUCGAUAGUAUUGAUUGUAUGUACUAACAUGCCAUGCAUAAAUUUCUUGAGUCCUACCGACAACCUGUCCAUGGAUGGGAAAUCCAGGGUUUUCCCAUGUGCUCGUUUGAAAUCCUUGUUGUUGCAGCUGAUGUAGAAGGUAGUAUGGAAUUUGUGUGGAAGAAUGAUAGUUAUACCUUUCAUACUCUUCAUCAGUGGAACUUGAAAGAUUUUGAGGAGGCUGACCAUAACUCAUUGCAUAAGGGGCAUAAAUGUUGGCUUCAUUUGAUGAAUCACUUAAUUGAGUCUCUACACUCAUCGACUCAAAACUGGCCGACAAUGAGUCCUCGUUGUAUGGCAUCAUCCUUCGUUGUCUUCCUCUAUAUGGCUUUCCAAUGGCUCCAACACCUGGACCGGCUCUUCUAGAGCCGUGGUCUUCAUCUUGAGUACAAUGUGUGAAAUCAUCUUCACUAAUAAAUGCCAAUGGUUGUCCACUUUGUUGAUGUUGUCUAACAUCCCCUUCAUCAUUUUCAGGGUCGCUACCAUCAUUGGUCCCCUCUCCUCUUGAAUCAUCAUAACCGGAAGCGGAAGUACCAGUAGCACUAGGUCUACUACUAUGUUCAACACUCGUGGGGUCAAAAGAAGGUCGAGAAGUGACUACCAGCUGAGAAAUUCCUUGUCGAAAUGAAUCUUUCGUGUCUUGGUUGAAACUAUCAAUAUGAACUUCUUCGGAUAACACUUGAUCAACAUCAACACCUGCUUCUCGGACAUGUGCGGCAAUUCGUGGGUCGAGAUUUCCAUCUUCAUCAUCUAAAUGAAGAGGUCUAACCCAUUGAAACAAUUGGUUAUCUUCUUCUUCACCAGCCUCAGUUGCAAUAUCAAGUAAAUCAAGGUAAUCUUUCUCUGAAACUUUGUCAUGUUCUGCUUCCAUGUCACGUAUCUUUAGUUUCAUGUUAUAAUAAUAGAAAACUAAUUGUUAGAGCAUCGGGUAAGCAAGCUGAUUUCUUUGUUUUGUAUGAAUUAUGGAAAACAUGCUCCAAUUUCUCUCACAAGCUGAAGAUGAUGCAGUUUGCGAUAAAACCUUGAUGACCAACCUUCUUAAUGUAGGAGUGUGAUUUCCAUACAUGAACCACCAUUCAACUACAACCAAAUAAAUGAUAUCAAUACUUAUAUUGGAAAGCUAUAAUAAUAUGCUAAUGAAAUGAAUUAUUAAUUCACAAAUAAUACUCACCGAGAACCAUUUCUAACCUCGAAGCAAUCACUGUUUGAUCACCGAAUCCUCUUUUUGCAUCUCGGAAUAGUAUAAUCUACAUAUUAAAUAAUUGAAAGUGAAAAAGUUGAGUAAAUGAAAUUAAAUUAUUUAAUUUAUAUUAUAACUCUAAUAAUUUACCUCAUUUCCAAAUUGACUAAAACCUUCUGAUGUAGGAUCUAAUUUCGCAAAGACUUCAUGGACAACUUGAAGUAGAUCAGGAUCAGUACCAACUCCAUGUUUAUAUUGAAAUCUUGGAUUAAGAAAGAAUGCUACAAUAGUAAAAUAGAAAUGUAAAAUUAGAAUGUUAUGAAAGAAACAUAUUAAAUACCAAUAAAUUUCAAAGAUGAAUAAUACUUACCUGCUGCAUGAAAAGGAUGUUUAAAAGUUCUAUCCCAACGAUAUGCAAUUAUUUCUAACACCCAUUCUUUAGCAUUAAGUCGAAUAAGGUUCUCUUUCAUAACUCGAAUCAAUUCGUACACAAAUGGCAUUGUAGGAACAACUUCUGAAUCGACAAUGCGAAGAACUGUGUAUAGCGCCUCAUAUAUUGACACUAGCUUUCCCACUCUUUCCUAGUAUGCAUGGUCAAACAUAAGUGAUUCAACUUCUUUGCCGAUUAAUGUGCAACUUAAGUUGUGUUGUGCCCAUUCAUCACUGAUAAAUAUUUUCUUCAAGUUUAUUUUCUUUUUCAAAAGACUGUCGAAGGCUAUAUAAUUGGUUGCAAAUCUUGUUGCUCCAGGACGAACUAUGUCUCCACCACACACCUUCCGCAUCUGGGUAAGCAACCAACCAUGGUUAUAAAUGAAGUUGGUUAUCUUUCGAGCCUUUGUAAUCACAUCUGCAACACUCGUCCUUUUACCGAUAUCUUCGAACAUUAAGUCGAUGCAAUGUGCUGCACAUGGAGUCCAAUAAAGAUUGUAUUUCUUCAUUAACAACUUCCCCGCCUUCAUGAAUGCCGACCCAUUAUCUGUAACUAUUUGGACCACAUUUUGUUUGCCAAAUUCCUUGAUCACAUCCUUCAACAAACCAUAUAUGUAUUUGUUGUCCUUUAUAUUAUUUGAUACAUCAACAUAUUUGAGGAAGAUUGUGCUACCUUUUGAAUAUACCAUGAAAUUAAUUAUGCUUAAUUUCGUGGGCCCAGUCCAUCCGUCAGACAUAAUCGUGCAUCCAUAAGUCUUCCACUUUUCUCUUUGAAUAUUGACAUAAGCUUCUAUGUCUUUGUACUCCAUAUCCAAAUACUCGUGUUUGAUUUCAUAAGGAGACGGUGGUUUUAUACCCAUACCUACCAUCCAUAUAUAAUUAAAGCAUAUAAGAACAUUUGUGGCAAUCAUACUAUAUAAAUAGUAAUGAUAUUGUUAAAAUGAAUACAACUUUUAAAAUUAUAGUAAUUACCUGCUUGUUGUGCACCAACAAUCAUGUUCUUGAAGUGGUGAGAGUCUGUUUUACUGGGCGGAACACUCUCAUAUAUGAAGAACUUACUGAUCAAACGUCCCAUGGUUUCCUUGAUGGCACCACCUUUGAAAAUAUUUUUCAUAUUUUUAUGUCUUGCUACUGAAGAUUUGUACAAUGAGGGUGCAUCAGGCAGUGAUGGAUCUAAAUAUCGAACACUUUGCGAUUUUCGCAUUUGCCUUGUUGUUGGAUUGGUUGGAUGUGAAGACUUGCCUAUUAUAAUUAUUAAAAUUAAACAUAUAUGCUAAUUUAAUAUUAUUGAUAAAGUUGAUAAGAAAUAGUAAUAAUUCAAAUUAAUAUUAUACCUGUUUUUAUUUUGUCUUUUAUAAAAUGUUCUUCUUAUUGUCGAUUCCAUUCAGCAGCUUUUGAUGCUCGAACCGCCUCUCUAUAAGCAUGUCGCUCACCAAGGUGCAUGUCAGCCAGAUACAUAUACACAUCAUCAUCUCCAUCAUCAUCAUCACCACCAAGGUUCUCCUCAUCGUCCUCAUCAGUUACAUGCUUAUGUCUUAUUCCCAUUGUGUCUCGCAGUUCAGAUCGAAUCUCUUCUAUAUCUGUAGCUUUCUUCGCUUUUGCCUUAUUUUUUUGCUCUAGAAGUCGUCUUAUUUAUUGUUUCACUUCUGGAGGCAUGUUAGGACACUUUUUUGUAUUUGAAUUAGGGUCUGUAUGUGAUAGGUGAAAUUUAAAACGAGUAAUCCCACCACUCUUUAUUGCCAACCCACAGUAAUUGCAUACUGUUCCAUUUUUGUCCCCUUCCAUAGGUGUACAAUAUUUCCAACAAGGAUCUCGACCCAUGAUACCGCUUUCACUAGCCAUUUUCUAAAAUUGAAUUAUGAAACUAAUAUCAAAUUUAAAAUUAUUAAAGAUAAAACAUGUAAGAAAUUUAAUAUUCAUGAAAUUGAUAAGAACUAAUAAAAAUUGAAAUUAAAAUUAAAUUAUGCAUAUAUGAAAUAGAUAAACAUUACAAUAAAAUUUCAAUAUGAAUUAAAUUUAAAUUAAAUUAAAUUAAAUUUGUAUAUUCAUGAAAUUGAUAAGAAUCAUUACUAAUAAAAAUUAAAAUUAAAAUUGAAUUAUGCAUAUAUGAAAUAGAUAAACAUUACAAUAAAAUUUCAAUAUGAAUUAAAUUAAAUUAAAUUUGCAUAUUCAUGAAAUUGAUAAGAAUCAUUACUAAUAAAAAUUAAAAUUAAAAUUGAAUUAUGCAUAUAUUAAAUAGAUAAACAUUACAAUAAAAUUUCAAUAUGAAUUAAAUUUAAAUUAAAUUAAAUUAAAUUAAAUUUGCAUAUUCAUGAAAUUGAUAAGAAUCAUUACUAAUAAAAAUUAAAAUUAAAAUUGAAUUAUGCAUAUAUGAAAUAGAUAGACAUUACAAUAAAAUUUUGAUAAGAAUUAAAUUAAAUUAAAUUUGCAUAUUCAUGAAAUUGAUAAGAAUCAUUACUAAUAAAAAUUAAAAUUGAAUUAUGCAUAUAUGAAAUAGAUAAACAUUACAAUUACAUUUCCAUAUGAAUUAGAUAAUAUCAAUUAAACUAUUGUAGACCCCCCUCUUUUGGUCUCGUUUCUUUUUUUUUCCUCUACAUAUAUUAUGUUUGUUUUAGCCAUUGCGGAAGCACCUGGAAGAGGUGUUAGUGCCUUGAACAAGUGGGGGGACCUGGCUGUUUGGAGAGAUGAGCUGCGUGGAACACGUGGUGGAGCAGUUGGCCACAGCCAUGGUGGUGGUUGGGGCUCCAGUUUGCUGAGCAGAGGAACAGUAUAGUAGCUGAUGGCUUGCAGGAAAAGCUUUGACGGAGAAGGAGGACAGAGGAUUUUUAAGAGGAUCCUUUUGAGAGUGCUGGCAGGGGGGGAUCUUGGAGGGAAAGGGAAGAGGAGAAGUAAGUUUUGAGGAGAAAGGGGCUUUCAGGUAUGGCCAUUUAUGAUUUUUCCCGAAUAUUCUGAUCUUUCAUAUCUUUCCCAUCUUACUCUCCAUGAUUCCAGUUUUGCUUGAUGAGUUGUUUUGUUUUGAUGAUUGUUGGUUUAACAUUAAAAAAGAUGGCUGUUUUUUUUGUGUUUUACCCGUGCAAACCUCUUCCAACUUAACCCUUUGAUCGUUAAGCUCAUGGAUGAAAGAAUGAAACGAAGUUAGCACAUUCAUCAAAAGGUUCCCUGCUAUGUUUCUCCAUUUGUUCCCUUUGCUUGAGUAUGUGAGUAUUGAUGCUAAUAGUAGCAAGGUCCCAGCCAACUUUGUACAAUAGAGCUCAGAUGUUGCUCUAGGGGUUCAUGAUCAUCCUGUCAAGUGCCUAGGAGCAAAUGAUGCCCUUGAGCUUACGUUUCUAAGUCGUGUUCUCCCUACCAAGCUGGAUACCCUCCUUGCUAAGGACGGGGGGACGAAACCUAUUAACAGCCGAAACCCAAUGAUAAGAUCCAAGUCACUGUCGAGUAUCUCAAUGAGAAGGAUGCCAUGGUUCUUUCUUCGUGUACAUGUUGUUCCCAUCUCCACCCAAGUUGACUAAACUGUCAUCAGUGAUGAGAUUGCUGCCUACACUAAAUAAUACAUCAUCCAGCCGGUUAUUCAUGAGAAACAUUAAGAUGAGAAGUCCACCUUCCAACACCCAUUAAGCCACUCUUCACACCCAUCUUCUCUCAUUAACAUCCUCAUACCCCUCCCACCACUUCGUGAUUCAUAUCCCCAUCAUCCCCAGCCGUCCAUGCUAUCAAUAAUAUCCCCACUUAUCUUCAUACCCAUUUGUUCCACUAUUCGGAAUCCCCAUGCAUGCGAAACUGGACGCGGAAGCCAUGAUAGCAGAGAUUGUGAUGAAGAACGUGGAAUGCGGUACCCUGUUGCAUGAAGUGAGCAUGGUGGAGCGGCGGUUUGAGGAGUCGACGAGGAAGAUAGAGCUGUAGAAGAGCUUGCUGGAGGUGUUGGAGUUGGAGAGGACGAUAUUGCUGAAUGAUAACGUGCGGCUGGGGCGCGAGAUGAGUGCGCUGAUUGAGGAGAACAAGGGGCUGUGGAGGUCCCGGCUCCUGCUCCGACGCUGGAGGCGCUGAGUCCUCCAGCACCGCCGGCCGAAGCUCCUAGGCCACAGCUAGAUGCGAUCCCAUCCAUCUCCAUCUCUGCCAGGUGAGAGUAGGGCAGAGAAGAUCACGUGCGUGAGGUAGAGGGUAGAAAUGGAUAAAGGGCAUAGAAAAUGGGCUACAGCAAUGCAUGGAAUUGUUUGAUAAAAGAAAAGAGAAAUGGGUUUGUUGACACGUGAAAGAACUAUGCACUUUAAAAAAACUCUCCCUGUUUGUUUUACAUAUUCUCAAACAAUGCUUAAAAAUCCCUUAAAAUUUUAAAGUUAAAAAUUUAUUCACUUAUUCAUGUUUUUCUAUUCACUUCAAAUUCUCGAAACUCAAUCCUAAAAUUUAAUUUCUUCAAAGUUCAAUCUCCAAAAUAACUUUUUUUUUAGGUUCUAAUUUUAACUUUAAUUCUCCAAAGAUCCAAAAUUUUAAAUUUAACUUUCCAAAAAUCCCACAAUUCCGAAUUUAAUUUUAGGUCUUGUAAAUUAGUAUUAUUAUCCCAUAUUUAUUUAUUUAAAGUCCAAUCCUUCAAAAAUCUCAUUAUUAUUAUUAUUAUUACUUCAACUUUCGAAAUCAAUUUAUUCUUAUUAUUAUUAUCAUUAAUCCAAACUUUCAAAAUCCUAUUAUUAUUAUUAUUAACCCAACUCUCAAAAUAUUAUUAUUAUUAUUAUUAUUAUUAUCAUUAAUUCAGACUUUCGAAAUCUUAUUAUCAUUAUUAUUAAUUCAACUUGCAAAACCUUAUUAUUAUUAUUAUCAUUUCAAAACCUUAUCAUUAUUAUUAUUAUUAUGAUUAUCAUUAUUAUUAAUUUAACUUUUAAAAUAUUAUUAUUACUGUUUUUAUUAAUUCAACUUUUAAAAUCUUAUUAUUAUUAUUAUUACUAAUUCAAUUUUCAAAAUCUUAUUAUUGUUAUUAUUAUUAUUAUUGUUAAUUCAACUUUCAAAAUCUUAUUAUUAUUAUUAUUAUUAUCAUUAUUAACCUAUUAUCAUUAUUAUUAUUAUUAUUACUAUUACUAUUAUUAUUAUUAUUAUCAUUAUUAUUAAUUCAAUUCCCCAAAUCUUAUUAUUAUUAUUAUUAUUAAUUCAACUGUCAAAAUCUAUAUUCCCGUAGUUUAAUUUCUCAAAGUUCAUUUCUUAUCAUUACUGUUAUUAUUAAUUCAAUUUUCAAAAUCUAUAUUCUCGCAGUUUAAUUUCUCAAAGUUCAUUUCUUAUCAUUACUAUUAUUAUUAAUUCAGCUUUCAAAAUCCAUAUUCUCGCAGAUCAAUUUCCUAAAGUUCAUCUCUCAUUUUCUUUGACGAAUUUCAAUUUAAUUACCGAAGCUCUAAUCUUUCAAAGUUAAUUCCAAAUACUUCAAUUUUCAAAUAAAGUCUAAUAAUCCAGUUUUCACUCGAAUGGUUUUAAUCCCAUUUCAGUCCCUAAAUAAUCUUCUGGUAUUCUUGAUUUUAUAUAAGCAAUAGUGAAUUCUUCAUAAUUCUAAAACACGGAAUUUGUGAGACUGGUUCAUGAAUAAUAAAUUGGGUUUUGGUGGGAGGCACUAUGUUUGAUCCCUAUUGAUUGUCAACUGUUGUGCUUAAUGUAUUUUUGCUUGAUCUUCAUUUUGCACCCUGAUAUGCAUGAGUUAUAAUUUGUAUUCAUUAAUUAUGCACUAAUCCUGUUUCUUGAUAGCAAAUUGCUGUUUGCUACCCAGGUACGCAUUCACUCAUUCUGAUCAUUCACUAUACGUAUUCUGAUUCUCAUAUAUGCAUGAUUAAUGUGAGUAUCCAUUGACUUUCUUAUUCGAUUGCCACGUCAGUUUCACUUUAUUAGUAGAGACCCGACUUUAGGGACUUUGAGGGGUGCUAUGGUCUCUACCGUACCUUCCCGAUAAGUAACCUGACCCUCGAACCCGAUCCGGUUUUUCACAGACCACCUUUUCCAAAACAAGGAGUCGCACUUAGGGUUUUUCUUUCUUAUUUUGUUUACCCUUUAAAAAUAAAACAAAAAUAAGUGGCGACUCCAAGUCAUUUUCAAAUAAUCAAUAAAAAUCAAGUUUUCAAAUAAAAAUCGAGUUCGUCAUCGAGUGGGAAACGCAUUGAGCCGAAAUGCGGGGUCCACAACUAUAUAUAACAAAUAAAAUUGAAUUAUGCAUAAUAAAAUAAAUUUUAUGAAAGGUAAGACAUACCUUAAUUAGCUUUGACUUGGAGUUAAUCCCUUUCACCAACAAAUUUUCAAAAUAAAAAAAUUUUGCUAGAUCAUAUAAGAAUUUUGAUGUAUGAAAUGGAAUGGAAUGUGGGUAUUUAUAGGAAUUUUUUGGUCAAACUACUCGUUGGAUGGUCAAAUAGCCGUUAUAAAUUAAUUUUAACCGUUGGAUCAAAAUUUGGUUCAAAUUUCACCAUUAGAUCUUCAUAUAACCGUUGGAAACACUCCAUAGCCCUUGGAUAAAGUGAAGAUUGAUUUUCCACCAUUGGAUCACAAAUCUGACCAUUGGAGGCCUUUAUAAACACACGGGUGAAAUUUGGGCCAUCAGAUCCUCAAAAAUUCAAAUUUGGCCGUCAGAUCAAAAUCCUUGAAGCUGUAAAAAAAUCACCGAUUAAUCGCGAUUUUCUCGGCAAAAAAUCGUUGAUAUAUCGGUAAAAUAGCUGAUUUUUUGGGCUCCUCCUCCGGCUUCUUCGUGCGUGCCUCUACUCGCGAUUUUUCGUCGAUUUAUCGGUGAAGCACCGAUAUUUGGCCGAUAUAUCGGCGAUUUUGCCGAUUUUUCCGUCGAUUGAUAAUCGGUGACGAUUAUUAUUUCGGUGCCGCCCAAUAUCCGAUAUUUCUCCGAAAUAUCGAUGAUAUAUCCCGAUUUUUCAAUCCCUAGUUAGACCCUUAGAGGGAUUUUAAGUAGAGAGGGCCCGAGCUUGACAUUUCUCCUCCACCUCAUUCAGAUGGUAUUCAUGUUGAGACCACUUUCUUAGAGCCUAUGAUGAUUGAGUCGUCUUACACUACAGGAGCAUCAUCUCAGCCAUCAUUCACCGAGCUUCCUCACACAGAGAUACCAUCUCAGGCACCUCACGCUUCUGAUCAUGCCCCUUGGAUGGAUGUAUCAGCUCAUAUCAGCUUCCUUGGGACUCCUAUGGAGGAGCUUGCUUUAGUCAAUGAUACUCGAUUCUACUCUAUGGAGGAUCACAUAGAUCAGUAUCAGACUGGCUUCACUUCUCGUUUUGAGCACUUCCAGCAGAGAUUUGAGCGUAUAGAGGAGCGUAUGGAUCAACAGCAGGCUACAGUUGAGCAUCUCCAGCAAAGUAUUGAGCGCAUUGAGAGUCGCCAGGCGAGUUAGCAUGAGGAGAUGAUGGCUUACCUCCGCUCCGUGUUUCCAUCUUCACCCCCUCAGCCUUGAGUUUAUCUAGAGUUCCCCCUCAAUUUCUUUUUUAUGUUGCUAAAGGGGGAAAAAUAUCUAGGAUCUAGGAAACCCUCAUGCAUAUCAUUGUCAUAUCUAUCUUGAUUAGCAUAUAUGUUAUGUUUUCGUGUACAUGUGAGGUUACCAUAUAUAUGAUAUGCUAUUUUCAUGAUCCAUUGUUUCCUAUUCAAUUUUUCAUGCUUUACAUUGUUUCCUAUUGAAAAUUGAUUGAUUGAUCCAUGAUUGGUUUGAGGGGGAGAUUUUUUUUCUCUCCUAGAUAACCAAGGUUGGUCAUCAUAAAAAAUGGGGAGAUUGUUAGCCUAAGGGCUCUCCUAAUCGGGUUUUGAUGAUAACAAACCAUGGUUAAAUGACUAAUUGGUUUAAUGGUUAAGAAUCUCAGGCAUAAACUCGAAAAUUCAUCAAAUGACCAAAUGGAUACAAGAUCGAGACAUUUGGAAGACUUGUGAUCAUAGGAAACUAAUGUAAGAUAAAUACAUGAGUGCACUUAGGAUUUUCAUACCGUUUCAUGCAAUUUAGAAAACUCGGUUUAUUUUUUAAAACUUCGAUUUCAUUAAAACCCGAGUUUUAACAAAUGUACCUUAGGCAAAAUGUUUUAAAAUUGGCAUAAUAAUUCACCUAAAAACCUUGCCUAAGUGUUAGAAAAAAAAUGAAUUCAAAAAGAUAGGUUUUUAGGGCCAAAAGGCUCAACCGGUUGGAGAACCAGUCGACCAAUUGCCCUUCUCCGGUCGAGGAAUGCACAAAAUUUUCUCUCUCACAGUAGCCUUCUCUUCCCAGUCGAGGUUAUUCUCUUCCCGAUUGAGAACUGGUCAAGGUCCGGUCGAUGACCGGUCGAGGCAACGGUAUCCUGUCAAGCAUUAAAUGCUCCAACGGCUAGUGAACCGGUUGACCCCUAGUUCGAUCGGUCGAGGUUACCUUUUGCUGUUUUUGGCUCCCGAGCUUAGAAACCUAUAAAUUGAGAGCUCCACUUCAUUUAUUGACGAGAGAACACUUGCAACUAAUUGUCUACCUACCUGUUCUUGAUCAAAAAGCUUUCAUUUCUUUCUUAGUGCAUUAAAUCUUCAAUUGCAUAUCCUUUAGUGCACUCUUGUGUGUCAUCCUAGCUUUGUCUUAUAUUUGAGCUAUCCUUAAGCUAGGUUGAGGGAUUCAUUCUUGUAAAAAUCGAGUGUUAAAGCCUUCAAGAGGUUUAAAUCUUGAAGAGAUUGUGUAAGAGCCCAUUGGAGCCGGAAUCCAAGUGUAAGAAGAUUGGAAGCUUGGUUGAAACUUUAAGUUAGUGGAACCCUCACUCAGUUAGGAGAUUGAGGAGAGUGGACGUAGGCAAGAAAGUGCCGAACCACUAUAAAAUCCGAGUUUGAAUUCUUUAACUCUAUUUCUUUAUUUUGCUUAUAUUUUGCUUGAACUCGUUGUGAUCGAAAAGAAUUUAAAAAAUCCAAUUCACCCCCUUCCCCUCCUUUUGGGUGUUUUUCUUAAUUAAGCAUAGCCUAUAUUUUCUCAUAAAUAAUCUCACAAAAUCCUAGUACAAACUUUAGCCUCAAAUUAUACAAGAUAAACUAGGAUUGAAUGGUGCACUAAUGAUAUGUAAGUUUUAAAACAAUGUGUACUAAAAAACACUCCCCUAAGGCUCAAUUAUAUUCAAGAAAGGUUUAAGAAGGUUAAACUCUUGAAACUAUAAAGAUUGAAGCGUUUUUAUAGAAGAGAAAAGCCAAACUACCUAUUGGGGGUUCGUCUGGUCGAGCUCUGGUUCGACCAGUUCACUAGCCAUUAGCAUUUAAUGUAUGAUAGGUGACCAUUGGGCCUUGACUGGUACUCAAUUGGAUGAAGUUCAACCUUGAUUGAUCGAAUAAGCAUUAUGGAAAAGAGAUAAGGUUUUUGCACCCUUCAACUGAGUAAGUUGAAUAAGUCGACUAAUUCCUCAUUCAAUUCAACCAAUUAAGUCAUUUUUUGCUAAAAAAACCAUCAUUUUCAACUUAAAACCUUUUAAACAAGUUUGGAAAGCAUUUGACAUAAGGUUUUAGUUGAAAACAUGAAAUCAUCCAAUUUUUAAAAGAUUUAAAACAAAAUAACUCUUGAAUGAUUUUAGUGUAUAAGUAAAGAAUGUAAUGCAUGAAAAACCCCAUGCACUAACAACCUUACAAAGAGAUCCUAUGAGGCUUAGGUCUUGAAAAAACACUUAUCUUUAAGGUUUUCUUCUUCUUAUUGAUUUUAUCUUUGUGAUUGCCACUUUGGAAAUCAUCUUGCCUAGUCACACUUAAAAUAUAAUCAUUAGUUCUAAACCUUGUUUUGUUAUCAUCAAAACUAAGAUUAACCAAACCUUGGUUUCACAGUAUGAAUAUUGUAUCUUUAGAUCUAUAGUUAAUAGUGGUUUUUAUAGUCAUAUGUUUCUAUUGUGAUAAAUUUAGAGAUGCCUAGGGAUAGAUGAAUGCACCCUAUGAGAUCUAGUGCAUAUGAAUGGAGUAAUCUGGGGUUCCUAACAUAGUUUAGGCUUGUGCUUCAUAGAGCGAUAACAAUUCUUCAAGCAUAGUUAUGCUUUAGAAAUUUGUUAUUGAUUGGUCCAAUUUUUAGACCAUCUUUAGCAACAAUCUUGUGGGCACCAUUGAUAUAAACUUGUUAUACAAAAUAUGAUCUAUCACAUUUUUGGCAAGAACUUUCCACUAGUUUUGUGCAUGGUAAUGAUCAUGCAUGCAAACUUAACUAAGUUAUACACUAGAUGCCAAACUACUACAAUUCUUAUACACCUUCCCAUUUUGUGCAACCGAACAAUUCAACAUCAUAACACCAAAGUUCUUGCUUAGAUUUCCUACAGUGCUAAAAUUUUGAAAUGAUUAAUUUUUUUAUUUUCCUUUCAAUACCAAGACCCACAUACAUCAUGUCAUGCCCUAAGACCCACUCUAAGGGCAUGACAAUCAUUUCACAUCUCAAGGUAGAAAGCUCAAAGUGUAAAUUGACCUUAACAUUCAUUUUGUAACUGGAAAAUUAUCAAUUACCAAAUUCAUAUUCAAAGUAGUAGAAUAAAAUUCUAUAAGUUUCAAAUCUCAACUUUAAAGCUAACACAUCAACUAAAGUGUUAUUGUCCAAACAACUUCAAACUUAACAAUUCAAGCAAUCAUUAAAUUCUAGCUUUCAAAAAAAUAAAGUUUUAACCAAAAGUCUUAAUAUUGCCAAAAUAUCAUCCUAACGAUCACUCCUAGCCCGAAUUAAGGUGCCUAAAAAAUUGUCAAUGAAAGGAAAUGAGAUCAACGCUCAAUAAGGAAUAUUAACAAAGUUUCAUGGAUCAAACAUUUUUAAUUAUAAUUCCAAAUAGGAGAUAUAAUAUAUAAUCAUUUUCAUAAAAACUUUUGAGUUUAAAUAUAAUAAUACAUUCAAAAAUUUUUAGCUAAACAUUUUCAUAUCUAUGUCAAAACAAUUUCAUAUCAAAUUCAAAUCAAAUAUAUACAAAAUAUUUUUAUUUUGGUUAUCAAAUAUCACAUGGUGUCAAGUUAGGUGGGACUUUACAAAUUGGUGUCUAGCCUCAAAUUUUUUCAUUUCAAGGUGGAUGAAACCAAACACUACUAGUAUUAUUAACAUCUAACCAAAUGCCUAAAGGGUGGAAUCUAAAGCAAUUACAUGCCCCGCCAAGAAAUAUAAGGUCAACAAUUAUAACUAGUUAACUAAGGACAAAAAUAAACUAGAGUCAAACACCUUAUUUCAUUAAUUCAAACUUACAAAACAAAAACAUCAUAUCUCCAUAAUUUUCAUUUUUUAUAAACAAAAGAAAUGUUCUAACAUAUUUUUUUCAUGAAAAAUAUAUAUUUGAUCCAUGCAUAAAAAUAAAAAUAAUUUUUUUUAUUAUUCAAAAUAACAUAUAAAAGUAAAUAUGUUCUUUUGGCCAAAACAUGUAUUAAUUUUUCUUACCUCAAAGAAACACUCAAAGACCUUGAAGCAAUUAAUCCUGAAGAAUUUCACCCCAAAAAACAUAUUUCAUACCUUACAAAAAAAAAACAAAAAAACAAAAUUACUAUUGAUUAUUUAUCUAAUAAUAGUUUCGUAUCUCAUAUCACCUAUAUUAUUUUUAACUUCCUAAUAAAUAACAAUUUAAUAAGUGAUUUUCCAAAUUUUAAAAAGUUAUGUUCUUUCCAAAAUUUAUUCAUAAUAUUCUAUUAUUAUUAAUUAAAUCUCUCAAAAAUAUGUUUUUUCUAUUUAUUGCAUUAAACUAUUAUUAUUAUUAUUCAAUUUCAAUUUGAUUAAUUGGUUUUUUCUUUUAAAUUUUUAAUUUAUAUAAGAUUCUUGUUUUGAAAAUCUUCCAUAUUUACUUAUUUGUUUAAAGUAAAUUUCUCCAAAACUUGUUCCUUUUUGUUAAACAAAUAUCUUUUCCUAUUAUUAUUAUUAUUAUUAUCCCUAAUAUUAUAUUCAAAUAACUAAACAAUAAUAAUUUAAAUUAGUGAGUUUCCAAAUUUUUAUAAAACUCAUAUUCAUUCUAAAUCUUAUCAUAUAUAUCUAUUUCUUUUAUAUAAUUAAAUUAAAUUAAAAAUUUUACUUAAAUAUAUAUAUAUAUAUAUAUAUAUAUAUAUAUAUAUAUAUAUAUUAUAUUAUAUUAUUACUUUCAACAUCCUUCUACCACCGAAACAAUUACCUCAAGUAAAAGUCAUCUAUCCUUAUUCUACUAACUACCCUCUCUCUUGCAAUAGCACACUUAGGGAUGGCAAUGGGGCGGGUUCAGGAUAGGUCACCCCCAUCCCAACUCCACCUUGUUUAUUCAAAAUAAUUAUCAUCCUCGUCCCAUUUAAAAAAUUAAAUGAGACGGGGCGAGUAUGAUAAAUUCUCAUACUCGCCUCGUCCUGCCCCGUUUAACUUUUUUUUGAAUUUAUUUAUUUAUUUAUUUUUAAAAUUACUUUUAAAAUUUUUAAUUACAUUAAAAUAAAUAUAUUUUAUAAAUAAUUAAAUAAUUAUAUUUUUUAUUACUUAUUUUAUUAAAAAUAUUUUAUUAUUAUCUAUAUAUUAAAAAUAGUAAAAUAAAAAUUAAAUUAAAUUAAUUUUAAAAAUUAAUUUUAUAUAUAAUUGGGGCGGGGUGGGACGGGGCAAUACCCAAACCUGCUUCGGGUUUUAAAAAAAAUUCUCAAACUUGUCCCAAACCCGUUUAUUAAAAUUGAACUCCGUCCCAUUAGGGACGAGGCGAGUACCUCGAAAAAACCUGCCUUAUUGUCAUUCCUAAGCACACUUUCAUUUUUUUUUUUUCAUUUUUAUUGCUUUUAUCUUUUUCCUCCCUAAGAUCAAUCAUAUUGUAAGCACCCCUUUUUUUUUUCUACCACAUCUUGUUGCAAUCAACCUUGUAAGUUUUUUUAAUUUAAAUUUUUUUUCCACUAUGGAGGCACGUACAACCAUAAAACCCCAUCUUUUUUUAUUUUAUUUUUACAACUCUCAAAUCUCUCAACCUCCAUACUAUUAGGUUUUAUUCAUUCAUUUAUUUAUUUAUUAUUCCAUAUCCAAAACUAUAAUUAAUUUUCUUUUAUAUUUUUUUAUUUUAGAUCUAUUAAUUUGAAUAUUCAAAAUUUCUAAUCUUUACUAAUAACUCUAAAGCAUUCAAAACUAAUUAAUAAAUAUAAAAUAUUAAUCUAAGGAUUAAAAUCUUAUAUAGAAAAUUGAUCUUCAAAUCUUAAACCCCCAAAUUUUCAACCUUACAUUGCGUUGUCUAAUAUCUCAAAUCUCCAUGUAAAAGGGCUUUUGAAUAGAGUAAAUAAGAAAAAUUUAAUUUAUACCUAAAAUUUUUAAAAUAGAGAAAAAUCUUUCUACCCUUAUUAAUUUAAUUUAAUUAAUUUUUUAAAAUUAUGUUUUUACCCUUUAAUUGGGUUUGGGCAUCACACAUCAUACUAAAAAGUUAUCAAUAACCGUCCUUUGAGGCAUAUUAGCAUAAAUUUGCAACUUUAGUUGUGUUCUAGGUGCAAUUCUAUUAUGUUUAAUUGAAAAAUAACACACAUAGCACAACCAAGCCUAAUUGAAAGCAUUUGGGCAAAUAAAUGGUAAAUUUCUAAAAGUUCACCAAAACAAAAAAAAAGAUCAUAGAGGGCAUAUUUUUCAAGUCAACCUAGUUUUGGGAUAGCCACUUUCAAGCCUAAUGAUGUUAAGAUGUCUUAUUGCAAUCCAAUCUAAGAAUGCAAUAAUAGCUCUUUAAUUCAUAAUUUUAAAUUCACAAAAGAUAUCACCAAAAAUUACCAUAGGUUACCAAAGCAUCAACAACAUACAGAAAGCUUAGAAAUGCUUGGAACCUAUCGGAUUUUCACUUUUUAGGAAUAAAAAAAAAAAUCAACUUUAAGGAUUUUAGGGUAAUACUUGCUUGAACCAUCUUUCAAUCCUUUUGUUGGUGGUGGGCCUUUUACCUAUAGGAACAGGAAUAAGAGGUGAAAAUGAGGGAGCCUUAUGAAAACAGAUCCCUAGGGCUUAAGAAGGGGUUUUCAAUUUUAGGGUUUGCCUUUUCACCAAGGAUGUGAAUGGGAAGAUCAAGUGAAGUUAAGAGAUUGGUGAAGCAAAGUGAGGGCAUGGUAGGGUUUGAAUAAGGGAAAUUCUACACUAUUAAUGAAGAUGAUAAUCUCGAGAAAGCAAAGCUAAGGUAAACUAGGGUUUUAAUAACAUUUUUCAAUCUACACUAGUGAAGACGAUAUCUUCGAAAACCAAAGCUAGGGUAAGCUAGGGCUUUAAUAAUGAAUUUCAAUCUACAAUGGUGAAGAUGAGAAUCUUCGAAAACCAAAUCUAUAAUGGUGAAGAUGAUUGAAAACUAAAUCUAUACUGGUGAAGACGAUUGUAAAGCAAAUCUACACUAGUGAAGAUGAUAAUCUUCGAAAACCAAAUCUAUAAUGGUGAAGAUGAUUGAAAACUAAAUCUAUACUGAUGAAGAUGAUUAGAAAGCAAAUAUUCACUGGUGAAGACAACGAAACCAAAGGUAGGUCUUCUAAACUAAACCCUUUUAGGGAUUUUCCAUUUUUUUUCCUUUGUUUUCAAGAAAGGUAAACUCUCUUGAAAACCAAAAAACUAAUGCAUUCUUAAAUCCAGAUCACCAUUUUCAACAUAGUAUUUGGAUUUCCACCUUGCAUUUUUUAUUUUUUAUUUUUUUUAAUAGUCAAGGGCAUUUUAGGGAUUAUUGAAGGAUAAUAUCAAUAAGCUCAAUUUCCUACAUUAGUUAGGUCUUAGGCUCAAAUGUGAAACUUAUAGGGAUGUUAGGCCAAUUAUCAAACUUACUUGCCUAAAGCAUAAUUUCCCCUUUUCAAAAUAGUUGUUAAACAUCAAUCCCAAACAUGUGUAACCCUUUGAAGUACUUGUAUGUCAACCUUGUUUCCUUUCCCUCAUGCAACAUGACUUAUUGAUGGUUGCAUUGAAUCAUUAUCAUUCACCAAAUCCAUGCAACUAUGGACUACCUUUCAAAUCCCUUGAACAUAAAUGGUAAUUCCAAAACAACUCAAGUAUAAUCUUUCCGGCCUUUCAAAUGAUUUAAUUAAUUGAUGUUUGAAUAUACUUCAUAUAUUUUUUUAGAGCAAUUUUUAGGCAUAUGACAUAAAUCUCUAAUUUUUUUUAUUUUUAUAAAAGGUUUUAUAUUUUAUAUUACAAUUUCCUCUCUUUUUUUUCAUCUAAAAAACAAAAUAUAAAACCUUAAUAAACGAGUUUUGUCACAAUCCCUUAAAAGGUAAUCUAUUUUUAAAAAUUACUUUAACCAUUUUAGAUAUAUUGAUUCAGUCUAAUUUAAUUUUAAUAUUUUUUAUAAAAUAUUUUUAUUUUAUAUGAUUAUAAAUUAAUUACCAUUGAUUGCAUAUUAUAGAAUAUAUAUUCUAAAAUAUAUCCUAUUGACAAUAAUAUCAUAAGAUAUUAUAUCCAUAUCCUAAUAUAUUAUAUACUUUUAUUUUGUGCAAUUAGCAACAGGGUGGAAGACGGCUUAGGCGGGAGACGGCUUAACGGAAAUGUCGUCUGCCAUGCGUGUCCCUUCCCUUAGUGAGUCUGAACAGCUCCAACAUUUCUGACACGCCCUUCUUCGGUUAGCUCUUAAGUAUUUUCGUUAACCCCAUCACAUUUCGCCAUGUGGAUCUAAGCCUCAUGGUCCUUUCGUUCGUACUAUGAAUAUAUUCCUUAUCUAGAGUCUGGAUCCUUUAUCUCUGCACGUGUCUAUGGCUCUUCACCCCAGCAAGUAUGGCAUUACAAGGGCAAUAUCGUCAUUAAAGACCCAAAAGGCAAACGAAUGGCAUUAUCUUCCUUUUGGGUCUAUUCUAUUUAUAUUUAUAUUGCAAGUUAUUCGUGAUGACUUCUCUCAUAACAGCUAAAAACCACUCCAACAGAGCACACUUCACUUCUUCGUUUUUGUCUUUCCUCUUUUUUUUCCAGAGAAGCUGAGAAAGCCCAGCUUGCCCUCAACUCCCCGAUGGGUUUGAUGAAUGUUCUCAAAUUCUCAGCUGCAUGCUUUGAUCUUCUUGGCUGGUAUGUUGUCCACGGAUUUUCUCGUCAUUGGAAAAUGAAGUGGAAUUCUAUGUUUGAGGACAAAACUGGGAUUUGCUUUGAUUUCUCCAUGUUGGUUUUAUCCCUUUCCUUUGAAUUGUCCACAUUCUUGUCAUUGGUUGUUAGUUAUUUGUUUGGAUUUCUACUUGCAGGCCUCUGUUUGCACUGGGUUAUCCUCUGUAAGUCUUGGUCUUACACCCCAAGAUAUGAUCAUUCAUUUACUCUUUUCUUGUUCUAUGAAUUCUUAGUUCUGUUACAUUUAUUGGGUUGGAUUAUUAGUUAUUAUAUUAAUAAUCAUCAACGUCAUCUCGGUUCUUCACAGAUGUGCUUCAAUUCGGGUAAUUGAGACUAACUCAAUCUCAGACGUUCGGAAGUUGGUGGCGUAUUGGGUUCUAUUUUCCUUGGUUUCACUCUUUGAUCAUACUUUUGCCAAGCUCCUUGAAUGGUAAUUUUGCUCAACUGCAUUCCACUAUAUGUGGCUCUAUUUCUUUCAUUUCUCUGCCCUUAAGGAAUUUGGAGUUGCUUUUUUCAGUUUUCUUCCCUGUGAAAAUAAUCGAGAUGUUUAAUGUUCCAGGCCUGCAUGCUCAAGGAAGUGGUGUCAGCUUUGGAAAUAAGAUGGAUCUACUAGUUUUUAUUUCUCAUCUUUAUAGGGAACUUUCCAUAAUCACAGUGAUGAAUAAUUGUCUUGUUUGAAAGCAUGGUUGCACUUAUUUCCAUGGAAUUUGUCUGCUGAGAAACAAAUGGAAAUAGAAAAUUCAGAAUCUGACAAGUUUGUGUAGGGCAACUGGAUCUAAUCUCUUAGUCGAAGCUUAAUUGGGGCAAAUGCUGAUCAUCUUUGGACCAUUGAAGGCUCUAAUCUGUGCACAAUUCUAAUGUUUUUGUUUUCUUCAUUUCUUUUUCAACUGUUCAUAAUAGAUGUCAAAAGAUAAAACCGAACUUAUGUAGUCCAUCCAAGUGGAUGCAUAUAAAUUUAACAGAAACUGAAAUUCGAAGAAAUUUAUUUAUUUUUUUAAAUAUUUUAUUUUCUUAUAUAAUGCAUGUCAGGAUACCAUUCUGGCCUUACAUAAAGCUGAUGGUCAUCUGCUGGAUGGUGAUACCGCAUUUUGAUGGUUCAUAUUAUGUCUAUCAACACCUAGUUCAUCCAUGCUUGUCCAUUGAUCCACAAGUUGUCAUGAAUUGGCUUUUCAAUGAAUCAAAAAAGAAGUUUCAUAGCAGAGAAAACUUUCUUGUUUCAGCAGACCAAUAUAUUAAGGAGAAUGGACCUGAAGCUUUGAAGAAACUACUUGCUAGGAAGGUAUGCCAUUAUAAGUAGGAUUAUCAACAAGUCAAACAGAGUUUUAUUUGAGAUGUUCAAGUAAAAAAUGACUAUAGCAGGUCAUCUAGAAUUAUGUGGUCUAAAUUCAUGUAUAUAUCUAUAUAUAAUUGUGUUCUCUUUUUUUCACAUAUGCAUGUGCAUUUAGAUUUACAUAAUUAUAUAUGCAUAAUCAGAUUCAACUGUGAUAGCCCGGGAUUUAAUUCAGUAAUCAACUCUUCUGGGAACAUGUUGGUUAUGGUUUCUCUCUCACUGUCCUCUUAUUUAUACAUGACUUUGGCUUCAGUUGAGGAGCACAAAGCCUAAUGUUGAAGUGAAAGAGAUCAAAGCACCUGCAGCACCGGAGAAAAAAGGGGAAGCGGUAUGCACUCUAAUGUGGCUAUUUUAUUUCUAUGGAGGCAGAUCCCCAGAAAAAUGUUGCUCAUGUAAAUUAGUGAUGCAUUUAAAAGAAAAACCACUUUAUGUAUGUUUCUGUGAAAAAGAGAACAAGUUUAUGGAUUAAGUGAUAUUUUUUAUGGUGAAAUAAUCAAUAAUUUUCAAAAUAAUAAUAUAUUCGUGCAUGUUUUUGCAAUUCAUGAAUUCCUUUUACGAUUGAUUCUUCUCACCUCAGUGGAAGUGUGAAGAGCCUAAUGUUGCAGAAAAGGAGAUCCAAGUAGUCAAAGUAACAGACAUAAAAAAUGGGGGGAUGGAGCAAAGAGGGUAAGUUUUCCUUUUUAUUUAUAAGGAAGGCUGUCUUCACACAAGGAUUAUUGUUAUUAUUUUUAAGACAUGAAUGUUGAAUGCAUUUGGAAUUGUCGUUGAAUCAUGUGAAGUGUGAAGGUGCAAAUGGUGCUAAGAAGGAGAUCAAAGUGAUGGAAGUAACACAGAUAACAUUUGGUGAUACAGAACAGUGGGUAAGGUUUCUUGUCAUACUUAAACGGCACCUCAUAUUUCACUAGGAUUAAUUUUGGCCUACAAACAUAUUUGGCUACAAGUUGAAGACAGAUUUCCAGAUACUGGUAGAAGUUGAGACAUAAGUAAUGAAUGAGUUUAGAAACAUGCACAACUCUUGUGUGAAACACAAUGAGAGUGGAAAAUAGCUAAGUUGAAAAAUGGCCAAAUACUAUUUUGUAGUUCCCCCCACCACUUAAGUAAUUUUUGUCAUCCUUUGUGAAUGGACAAUGCAGUCCCUUCAGUAAUUCCGCUAUAUUCAUGACUUGGUGAAGCAUAUAACCAUUAGUGUCUUGUCCUAAGUUGACCUUUAAUGAUGAUCCAUUGAGAGGGAUCUGACUUUUGUCAACCCUCUUAGAGGUUAAACAUACGGGGCUUAACCCACUUUUCAAUCUCAUUGGAUAUAUGGCACGUGGUAUCCUCUUCAUCUUGAAAGAGUGAAGUGGUCAUACUCUUUCCUCCGAGUCCAUCGUGGCCAUGCACUUCUGGCUCAUUGGGCUGAGUGAAAGGAUUCCCUUCUGCUUCAAAUCAUAGAGAGAUAUGCCAUGGUCAGCCUCUUUAAUUUGAAGGAUUGAAGUACUCAAAUCCAUUUCUUUGCAUCCAUCUUAGUCCUGCUUCCAUGUCUCAUGGUUAACCAGGAAGAUCAAGCUUCCAUCCAUGAGAUCAGCAUCUGCAGGGUUAUGACUCCACCCUUCCUUGGCAUAGGAAAGCGAUCAUUAAGCCACAUGUCGGAUGACAGAAGUCGUCAUUCAGGUUAUCUUGAGAACUAGGGAAGUUGGAAUUCUAAUUAUUGCAUAUGGUUCUUGAUGUUUAGCCAAUAUACUAUAGGAUUUUAAGCAUCAUGCCCAUGUGCAUUGUGGUUUUUUAUCAGCUAUAUGGUUUACCAAACUGAGGGAUUGAUUAUAGUCAUAAGUACCCUUUUCCCAUUAAUUUCUUGCAUGUGCUUUGCUGAGAUUAUGUUUUUGACAGUGCUAAUCAGGGCAAACCAACAAACAGCUUUAUGUUAACUUUUACAAACUGCCACAUUUUCAGGUUGAACGAUCAGACAUAAAUCUUGGUGAAACUAGAAGUAAUACAACCUGUGCUGUGGAGAUAAAAGAAAGGGCAGCAGCACUGGUGGCUGCAGAAAUUGAGGCAUGUAGAGACAAUAGAACCCCCGAGAUACCUCUGCAUAAGAAAGUCCAGAAAGAGUGGGCUUGUGCUGUAUGCCAGUUCACAACCCAAAGUGAAGUGACCUUCAAUUCCCACCUUCAAGGGAAGAGACAUCAGGCCACUUCUGAGCAGUUGAGAGCCAAAAACCAGGCAACCAAAACCAAUUGUUCCCCAUCUGCUUCAAAGGCCAAGAAAUCUGAUCAGUCCACCAAAGAGGAGCAACCAAAGUGUCCUUCCAACAAUCUGAAUUCCAAAAACAAUGGAAUCUCAGCUGCUUCAACAGUGAAGAAACCUGACGAGACCAAAGAUGAUGAGCAACAAAAGUGUGCAUCCAGCAAUGGACCAAACCAGAAGAAUAACAAAAAGCAAGAGGAGAAGGUGCUAGUUCUUGAGACCAAUGAGCAAGGCCAUCAGAAUAAUUUUGAUCCACGAUCCCACAUUUAUUUUGGGUCUCACAAGUUUCAAAUUUGCAGAAAAAUGAAAGAUGUUUGAGAGAAAAUUAAAUCAUAUUGCACUACUGUUAGGAAAAAUAUGGCUGAAUCCAAUUGCUUUUCUUCUCCAAGUCUAUUAAAAAUAUAAUUUUUUCUCCAUUCCUGACAAAAUUUAAAUUUUUUCCUUAAAAAAAAAAAAAUUAAGUUUGAUCACCUAACACAUCUUUCUAAACUCAAUCUCAACUUGAAAAAUCAAACCUUAAUGGAUGGACUAUAGAAAUAGUGAGAAAACACUUCUGGGGUUUUUUUUUUCUUCCAACAUCAAAUUUUUCUAUAUAUGGGAUUUCACAUGCAAAAGCAGGAGUAGAUUUGCUUGUGUUUGAUGUAUGUAUUAGAAAAAUUUGUCCCUUCUGGGAUGUUUAAUACUUUUCUAUUCUUUUAUAUGCAUGUUUAGCUAGAAGAUAUAGAAUCGAUACCAUUCCUUAAAAGUGAUAGCCACAACUGUGAUAAUUAAACACCAAAGAAUGUGAAGAUCUAUAUAUUCUUUUUUUUUUCCUCUCUCUUUCAAUAAUGAAGCUAAGAUGUGUUGUAAGCAUCAAAUGCAUUGUCUCUGCUUGAAUAUAUACAAAGCCAAGGACCACAAGAUGGAUAGAUAUGGGGACGCACAAAACUUCUCAAACAUGAUUAUAUUAAUCAAGAAUUCAACUAAGCUUAAAUUCAAGAUGUUGAUUUCUAGCAUCUCUGGUGCUAUAGGAUGACUAUUGAUCCUGUACUGUUAUGUGCCCUACUGAUAUAUUCUUCGGGUUGUUAUGUAUAAAUAAAAUUUUUGGGAAAGUUUGCUUGGUGGUUACACUAUCACUAUUUAGGCCAGUAAAAAUUGGAAGCCUUUGUAAAAAACUGAUGGUCCAAGAGCUAUUCUACUUCAUCAUCCAUGUAAUAUGACGAUACAAAUUUGACUAAAUGCAGCUAUAGAAGGCUUAGGACCAUAAACCAAGCCUAGUCGAUGUCACUCACCUAAAUUUAUGCAUAAAGCUUUUGGAUGGCUCAGAGUUAUAUUUAAUUACUGUUAUGUUCGCAACUAUAUUUUCAUUGGAUUUAUAGUCCAGCUUGAGAACUAGUCCUCCAUUGCACAUAAUGUCCACACAAGGCCACAGUGCCCGCUCAAAGGCCAUAGCGCUACUCAAGGAUAUAGUGCUUACUCAAGGCCAUAGAGCCCACCUAAGGCUAACGACCCAAAAGGAGAAAAAGGUUGGUUCCACGUACUCUAAUAUUUACUAGAAAAGGUUCUUCCUAUUAAAGAACAAAAAAUUGCAUUCCCUUGUGACCAAUCCAAACAGUAGACCACUGACUUGUAUAAGGCAUUAUUCACCAUGCAAGCACUUUUUCAGCAACCUACCAUCUGGCAUGAACCAUUUUGGAUUGAUUCACAAAGCAAUGGUGUUAUAUUAAGCAUAUUCAAUAUAGAACCAAAUUGUGCCUCCUUAGAUUAACUAAAAUAUUUCCAUUGCAAGAUGUGCAGAUAGGCAUAUGAUCAUGAAGUAAUUUCCUGAUGAUAAUACCCCACAAAAUAUUUCUUUUUCUCACUGAUCUCUCCUAGAUUUUCAGUUCACCCAUCCAUGGCGCCUGACUAAAAAUGGGGGCAUUUUGGAUACCCCGAGCAGUAAGUUAGCCUGGUAGGCAUCCCGUUGCAAGCAAAGUCAACCCGAGCGGUCCAUUUGACCAAAGCUUAUCCAGGCAGUAAGCGUCCAUAUACAGCUAACUGUUAUGCACCAUCAACAGGUUGAGGUUACAAGAUUAAAGAGUCAUAAUGGCCAAAUGGAAGUUACACGACUCGGCCUAUAUAAUAACAGUAUGACAAAAAAUGCAGGUAUGAAGAACUAUCACUGAAAAAAUUUAUUCCUAAAAAUCCUUUAAGCUCCUUUAAGCUAACUUGGGCAUUGGAGAGGUCUCUCCGAAGCACACUCGAGCUUACCUUUUUGUAAGACAUCGAGAACAAGAGGCAUUGAAGUGAUUGUCCGGAGGGUUGAACUUGGUCGGGAACCAACAAUACACACUAUUCAAAAAUAGGGAUCAUAUUAAAUUAUUAAUGCAACCAUAGGAAGCAAUUGAGGACAAGGGUGUUAUUUGAUUAAAAGGGUAAUUGAAAACCUAAAUUUUGAAAUUUAACCCUCCAUUCUAUUUGGCCUUAUGUGAACAAAAAUGCCUUCAUUAUUUUCUUGUAAAAAUAACUCACCCAUUUAAACCUUACAUGAAAAUACUUAAAAUGGUAAAUGAUAUGUUAAAAAUUGAUUAUUUUUCAAAUAAAACAUAAGAAGGGUCAAAUUCAUGAAAGGAUUAUUUCAUCCCUUUUAAUCAAUUAAUUCGAUUUAUUUCUUUUUAUUUUUUUUCUCUCCAUGUUAAUUUUCACAUCACCCAACAACACCACUCUUAAUUCACACAAGUUUGAAGUUUUUGAAUGAGAUAUAUUCGUAAUUAUAUUGUAAUUGUGUUAUAAUAACCAUUUCGUACUUGGAUUUGUUCUUUCAGUCCAUUUAACCUUUUUGUUUAUUCAUGUCAAAACAAUGUACUUAUAAUCGAAUCCAUUUAUGACAUGUUGAUCUUAUAUAAAUUUAUUAAUUUUAUAUAUUUAAAAAUUAUAAAAAUUAAAUAUACUUUUUCAAUUAUGAAUAUCAUAUUACUAAAAUAUUAAAUAACAAAUUAACUUGAAAUGCUAUAUAUUUCAUUAAUUAUUUUAUAAUUAAAACAUUAAAUGAAAUAAUAAACAAGUAUAAAAUAGAAAAUUCUAUCUUAGUUAGAAAUUAUAAACUGUUAUUGAGACAUAUAAGUAUUAAAAUUCUACCCAUUUCACUACCAAACAACUUAUGUUUUUAGUCAUAAUUUAACCUUAUGAUGAACACUUAAAUAAAAUUUGUCAUCUUUUUCUAUUGAUUUAUAUUUAUUUAUUUAAAAAUUUUGUCUGGCAUAAACUAUCAUCUCACAAAAUCAUCAUUGAUGAGUAGGCUAUGCCCCAGUGUAAGCAUCUCCAAAUCAAACAUCAAUGAGAGGAGUACAACCAAUCAUACAUCAUCUUAUCAAAAUGAAUCUCCGCUUUUCAAAGUCAUCGUGGUAACGUGAAGAGAGUAUUUGACCUCCUCUAAAGAAAAAACAUGUCUUGAUGUGAAAAAGAUCAAGCAAAGUGGUAUGCCUCAACAAAAAUGUGCUCAAACAUGAUCAUGCCCCGAUGUAAGUUAGUAUCUCUAAGAUCAAUCGCCAAUGAAAAGGUUAUUCCCCAGUAUAGGGCAAACUCUGAAAUGACUAAACUCCGUUGCAAGCUCUCAUAAGUGUCUGUGUCAUGAUCCAAUCAUCGCAAAAAUUUGUCAACAAUGAUGAGAAGGCUAUGCUCCUAUAAUCACAUCAAAGAAAUCACUCGGUCAUAUUACUCCAAUGUGAAAGAAAUCUAAUCACCUCCAAGGAACAGCUAUGCCUCAAAACCAUCAUCGACUGAGAGGGGGAUGCCCCUGAUCCAAUCACCACCCUAACUAACGUACCCAUCAUGAGGAACACUUGUUUGAGCUCCAUAAUGGGGAUCAACCAUUAGAUGAACAAGAUUCGAAUAUUACUUGCUCCCCAUUUCAACCAAUGAAUGAUGUACCUGGAAACCUUGUAGACAACCAUAGUUUUCAGCCUUCUUCCUCGCGAUCAUCUAGAACAGAGUCGGUAAGCUUCACUCAUUUCUUAUAAUGGACCUUGACCCACAACGUCGAACUACCUGUAUGCAAAAUUAUCCGUCCAGAAAACCCAUCCAUACAAUUCAGGUUCAAAACCCACAAGAACCACCCUAUGAAUAAACUAAUUAUAGCUGGCUUCGUUGCAAUAGGCAUUAACUUUCUUAUGCUGACAGUCCUAGCAUCAUUUACCAAAGGAUCAACAACUUUUCCAUGUCAGAGAACAUUAUCAAUCACAAUGACACCCCUGGUCCUCACUAGUUGCGAUAGCAAUUUAAAGUAUUCUUGAUUCAAAGGGUAAACAAAACAAAAAAGAAAACCCUAAGUGUGACUCCUUAUUUGAAAAAUGUGGUUUAUGAAAAACCGGAUCGAGCUUAGGGGUCAGGUUACUUAUCGGGAAGGUACAAAAAAAACCGUAGCACCCCUCUAAGUCCCUAAAAUGGGUCUCUAUUGAUAAAAUGAAGCAAUCAUGGCAAUUGGUAAGGAAAUCAUUGAGUAUCAACAUGAUCACACAUUGAGAGUUAAAGCAUGCAUGAGGAAUGGUCAAAGUGAGAAAGGAUGCGUACCUUAGCAACGAGUCCCAAUGCGCUAUCAAGAAAUUGGGUUAGUGCACAAUCAAUAAAUAUAAAAUAUAACACACAUGCAUCACUAAAUAGGGUAAUAAAUCCCCGAUGACAAACCUUGCACUUCACUCAGGUUUAUUUCUACUUCUCUGAUGUUGGGCCCCACCAAAGCUCAUUUUAUUUUGCAUGAAUCAACUCCAAUAACUCCAUUAUUCGGAAUUACGAAAUUUAAUUCUUGCUUAUUUUAAAGCAUUUUAAAAAUAGAGGAGAUAUGAGAAUUGCUCGCCAGAAAAGAAGAUGGCGGCAAAAUUUUAAUGAAAAACGAGUUUUUGGAACCUAAGAAAAAUGUUAAGGAUGGAAAAUUUUGGAGGUUUGAAAUUAAUUAAAAAUUAGAAUUGAGGAAUUUAUUUACAAAAUGGGGUUUAGGAAAAUUAUUUUCAAAAAAAAAAAAUGAUGAAAUGAGAGAUGGCACGUGACACAAGGGUGGCCAUGCUGAAGGCGUUCUCUUCUGGCCCAAGCUGGAAAUGCACUCCAAUUAUCCUUCUUUUCUGGUAUAACACCUUCAUCAAAAUAAAUAGCUUUUGCACCAUACUCUGAUAGACAAGGACCAAUAACAAUGCCUAUAUUUGCCUUAAGUAGACAAAGUAAGUCACCCAUUGAACCUCCAAUAUAAAUUGUCAAGUGCUCUGUGUCAUUACUGCAUCCCUCCUUCAAGAUGUCCUUAGAAACCUAAAGCUUUUCCACGACAUACUCCAUCUUCUUAAUGAUUUCACCCGUGGAAAUGGAUUCUUCACAAGCCAACUCAUUUGAAUAUACUCUCAAAACACCCAUAUCACCUGAUGAAAAUGCUGAUCUAACGAAAUCGCCACACCAACAGUAUGAAAGUCCAUGAACAUCUGCUUUCAGAUUAUUAUUUUUAAGAAUCUUUUGGAAGAAACCUGUGCAACCAUCUUGAAGAAUUAGACCUUGACCAACCUGUUUUAUAUCAUCUGAAUUUAAACCCUUCAAUACUCCAGACUGAGUCACUCUUGAAUCUGCCUUUUCCUCAAAAUCAGAAAGUUGCUCAAGUGCUUUACAUAAGCCUUCAUAAUUGAAUUUUUCCACUGUUUCACUGGGGACGAUGCUUCCCAUGCAUUUUUCAAGCUCUUCAGUAUGCUGGGUAGAUAGAACACCCCAUGUGUGUGUCCAGAUCACCAUGAGUGACCAUUUGAACCUUGACGAAUGAGAGAGUACAUAACAUUUAAGCACACAGGACAUAUAUUAACAUUCUCCAUUAGCUUCUCUUUGCCUUUGUCCACCUCUUGACCUCCCAUGCAGCCAACUGUGAAGACCACGUCCAGGUGCAGUCACGUGGUGACACAUCUCAUGGUCUUCCUCAUCCAAUAAAUCACAUGCUCUGUUAAAUCUGCUACCCGAAUGGAUACCUCCUAUCCAUCAACCUGAAUAUACUCCGAGCUUUCUUCAUAAAACCCAAGAAACUCCAGAAGGCAUCAUGGUUCUCCUCCAUCAUUGAAAUGAUUAGGGAUAGUAAAUCACUCAUCCCUUAGCAAUAUCCCAUUUUUAAACCAUAGGGUGCGUAGGCUUCUAGAAUAGUAGCAAAGUGAGCAACACGGAAAAUCUUGCGUGGAUCCAAGUUCCAUGAUGGUGAUCGUAGCCUCACCUUUGAAAUCACAAGACCCAGAACCCAUUCGUUCUUCCUGGUAAUAACUAUCAGAUGCAUAGGAGGCAGGGUUCUUCAGAUUGUUGAUUUGGUAAAAGCCUCUUCUGGUUGAACCCCUGAAUGAUUCACUUUUCUCAGUCCGCAAACCUAGUUCAGAACAGCCCGCAAGAUCAGAACCUUAACCUAGGCGUGGAGAUCCAGUGUUGUAUAACGCCUCAAUUGUCGGAAGCAGCCAUGGCCCAAACAAUGAUAUAAUGGUCAGCAAGUUGUCCCCAAGGACCAUGACAGUGAUGAGCAUUUCCGGGCAGCGCGUCACCACGUUCCACGUCGCGACGGUAAUGGCUAUGGACUGAGUGUCAUGGUCAGGGAGCUUGAUGAAGCAGGUGAAAAUCUGGUGUUUUAGAUUCUGAGGCAAUGACUGCUUGAUCGGUCGGAUUCUAGUACCGGCGUUACAUUGGGGAGGCAAUCUUAAAGUUCCAACGGAGGUAGUAGUGGACUAAUAUUCCUCAAUAACCAAACUUGAGUUUCUCACUUUCCGCUUCUCAAGGCAUUCACCUGAAACGCUUCAGGCGCCCAAACCCUUUCUGCUCAUCAGUAUAAUCACGCGCAUGAAAGUCUUAACUGCCUUCUAAACUUCACAACUUCAUCUUGCAUCUGGGUCAUCGUCGGCACGAACUUAUCACCUGAUUCAGUUAAUAUCCCCAUAUAACAAGUUCCAAUGAAGUCGCAACUUUGCAUCUUCUUUUCUGCGAUUACUUUGAUUCUCAAAGCCGAUUACUUGUUGCAGUCCAUAGGAGAUUCAAUAAUCAAACAUCAUGCACAAGCAAAAAGGCAACAAAAUACAUCGGCAUGUGGCCCAUACACCCUCCAAAAUCUUCACUCAUUUAGUAAGUUUUAGAUUCAAAAGAGUUAGCCUUCUGGUGAGCAACCCGAUACCCAUAACGAAUGAUGUAUCUGAAACACCUUUCCCACGUGGCCCUUGAAGGAUUCACUAGAAGGUGACCAUGCAUAGUAGGUCUUCACUCGCAGGAGAAUGAGAAGGAAAUAAACCUAAAGGGGGGUUGACAGCGUAGUCUAGAAGGUGAUGAGCUGAGCGGGUGGGGGUAUUAGGGUGGUCAAGUUCAGUGGGUAUGAAGGGUGGAAAGAUGGCAUGAUAGAGGAAUAAGCAGCUGAUAGUGGGUGCGAUGAUAUAAGGUAGGUUGACUAUGGAGAGUAUGGCAUUAAAGGAUGAAGACUUAGAGAGAGAGAGGUGGGUUUAAGGGUAUGGUGAGAUGGAGGGUUGAGGGUGAUAGGCUUGGAUAGUUGCAUGAGGAGGAUGAAAGGUGGGUAUGGAAAAUGUGCAUGGGUAGGAAAUGGGUAUAACAAUGGGUGUGAAUAUUGAGAGGUAGUGAAAUGAAGGCAGCCUUGCUCGUAUGGAUCAGUGUCGGAUUGAGUUAAGAAUGGUGAGAGAAAGGGAUUCGAUGAAUAUUGAAUGAUGGAAAAUGGUGAUUGGUUAGAUAGGGAUUUGUGGUCGAAUGGAAAUAGGAGACAUGAACAUAGAGAUGAGUGUGAUGGAUGAUAGUGGGCAUGAAGGGUAUUGGAUUUGUUCAUGGGUAUAGUGGUUAAAAGAGUGGUGAGAAGAAAAAAAAAUGGCCAUGUAAAUAGCAAUUAUACAUGUGGGCCCGUGAUUGCAAACGGGACUGCAUUGUUGCAUCUCAUGCUGAACCCUCACCUCCUUCUAGGAUCAUUUUCUGCAUCAAAGCUAGAUAAACUUAGAUGGUAUUUCCUGCCAAUUUUGGAUGCCCCCCACUUUGGAAAUAUUUCCUUUUCACCCAUCAGAAUAUGCUUAUCAGGUGUACUUGACUCAGGUUCAUUCCCAUAUUGCCUCUCUGAUUUAUGAUCUUCAAAGGUUUUGCAUGAAGGAAGCCUUUCACUGCAUUCCCCUUCAUCCACCAGACCUUCAGAGCAUCGUUUCCAACAAAAGCAACCUUGACUCUUCUAGUCCCAUCAGAAAAAAGUCUGAAUAUCCUCAGUUUAUGUCAUCCCUUGAUGCCCAACUCAGAAAUGAUCCAAAAAACAGUCAUCUCCCAUAUUUGGCUUCCCAGAAACACCUCGACUCAGAUGGCCAGUCCAAAUGUGAUACCCAACAUUCUAAAAAUGCUAAAAACAGAGGAGAUGAUGAAGAAAAACAGAGCAUGUAUAAAAGAAAAAAAAAAGGACUGUUAAAUCUCACUCCAUUCCAUAAAUGCUAAUGGGGUGGAUAUGGUGGAAUCAAAAGGAAGCAAGAGCGUGAUCUUCAAAAUCAAAAGCAAUGAUGGAUCCAUAUUCAAAACGUUCCAGAAUAGAGAAAGACACAAAUAAGGAGCAGGGUUUUUUUUUGUUACUGGCAGGAAGAUAUUUUUUCUAGAGAGUAACUAGAGAGAAAAAUAGGAAGAAAAGGGAAGAGCAUAGAAGACAUCUACAUAGGAGAGUAUUCAUUGUUGUGAGGAGUAGUAGAGAGCUUAGGAGGAGUUACAAAGAGAGUGAGUUUGGUUAGAGGAGGAAGUUUUGUUGGUUUUUCAGAAAGGAUUCUAGCUUGAGUGAGAGCCAUUCUAGAGAGGGUUAGAGAGGAGAAAGGUGUGUUUUGAGCAGCAAAGACACGAAGCAAAAUAGAGCAGCCAGGAAAGAGAAGCAGAAAAUCAAAAUUACUAAAAAAUUAGUGAAAGCUGUGAAAUUUCAUAUUGUUACUAAUUAUUAUAAUUUUUUUUUGUAUUUUCAAUAUUUCAACCAAUAUUUUAUAUAAUUAAAUUUAAAUUAUAAGAAUUAUAUUAUUAAUACACAUAACUAUCUUAAUGUUUUAACAAUGUAUACUUAUUUAAAUUUAUUUCAAUUUUUUUAUUUUUUUAUAAAUAUCUAAUUAGACUUAUAAUUCAUUGAAAUUAUUCAUUUUUUUUUUACUUCAUAAACCAAUUAUAUUACUUUUUGUAUUUUCAAUAUUCAUUUGGAAAAAAUAAUUUCAAUUUAAAAUAAAAUAAAUUAAUUAACUCUCAAUUUAUAAAUUGUGUCAUUGAAUUAUUUUUUAUUUAUAAUAUUUAGUUUAUUUUAAAUUUAAUUUUUUUUCUUCACCUUUUGGUUUAUCACUUUAUAUUAAAAAAUAAAAUAAAAUUGAAUUUCUUUUAAUUUAUAUUUUCACAAAUUAUUCAAUAUUUUUUUAAUUUUUAUAAAAUAAAUCCUCAGAUUAUAUAAUUGGAUGUUGUAAAGAGUUAAAAUUUUUGUGUUGCAUUGAAUUAUUUUUUCUAACAAAAGUAUAUUUGGGUACCGUAGACAUUAUAUCCAUAUCUUAACGUAUUAUAUACUUUUAUUUUGUGCAAUUAGCAAUUGAGCGGAAGACGCGGAGCCGGCUAACGGAAAUACCGCGUGUCACGCGUGUCCCUUCCCGUACCAAGUCUCAACUGCUUCAAGAUUUCCGACGCGCCCUUCUUCGCUUAACUCUUAAGUCUUUUCUUCCACUCUUCCUUAAACCCAUCACAUUUCGCCGCGUGGACCUAAGUCUCAAUGUCCUUGUGUUCAUACGAUGUAUGUUCCCCCAAUUCCUCAUCUACACUGAAACUCCAUACUCGCCUACUCAAUCACUUCUCUACUCUAGAGUCUGGAUGCUUAUCUCUGCGCGUGUCGAUGGCUCUUCACCCCAGCGAGUAUGGCAUUACAAGGGCAAUAUCGUCAUUAAAGACACAACAGAGUGUCUAUUUUAUUUAAGCUGUACGUAAUCGUGAUUGACUUCUUAGUAUCCUUUUGCUCCUAGUCUUCUCCCGCGUCUCUUAUAAAAACUAAAGAAAACCACUCCAAGAGAGCACACUACAAGAAUCUUCUUCCUUUUUUUCUUUCCUCUUUCUCUUUACAGAUAAACUGAGAAAGCCCAGCUCAUCCCUCAAUUCCCAGAUGGGUUUCAUGAAUGUUCUCAAGUUCUCAGCUGCAUGCUUUGAUCUUCUUGGCUGGUAUGUUGUCCACGCGUUUUCUUGCCAUUGGAAAUUUUUGGGAAAUGAAGUGGAAUUCUCUGUUUGAGGACAAACAUGGGAUUUUCUUUGAUUUCUCCCUGUUGGUUUUAUCUAUAUUCUUUGAAUUACCCACAUUCUUGUCAUUGAUUGUUAGUCAUUUGUUUGGAUUUCUACUUGCAGGCCUCUAUGUGCACUGGGUUAUCCUCUGUAAGUCUUGGUCUUACACCUCAAGAUAUGAUGAUUCAUUUACUCUUUUCUUGUUCUACGAAUGGUUCAGUUACAUUUAUUGUGUUGGGAAACUGAAAAGGAAAAGGAUUAUUAGUUAUUAUCGUAAUAAUCAUCAACAUCAUCUCGGUUCUUCACAGAUGUGCUUCAAUUCGGGCAAUUGAGACUAACUCAAUCUCAGACUUUCGGAAGUUGGUGGCGUAUUGGGUUCUAUUUUCCUUGAUUUCACUCUUUGAUCAUGCUUUUUCCAAGCUCCUUGAAUGGUAAUUUUGCUCAACUGCAUUCCACUAUAUGUGACUCUGUUUGUUUCAUUUCUUUGCCCUUAAGGAAUUUGGAGUUGCUUUUUUCAGUUUUCUUUCCUAUGAAAAUAAUCGAGAGGUCUCCAUGUAUUUUAUAUUCCUUCAUUUCUCUGCUUUGACAAAGGCCCACAUUCUGAUCAGCAGAAAGGUUAUAACAUUUGAAAAAGAAGUGCUUUAUUUUUGUUUUUUGUUAGUACAAUAAUUUUCGUUUGGAUAAAUGGUCUGAAGGGUGUUUGUGUUUGGCUGAGUUCAUGGAAUUUUCUAGCUAAUUUGGGAUUUAUUCUCAAUUUCAAGAUCAUUGUGGAUAUGUCAGAAAUUAAUGAAAUAUAAACGGUGGAAUGUGAUUUUCUUGUUUAAGAAAAGUUUUUCUUUGAAAAUACGGGUGCACCUGACCUACCUUAUUGUGCUACUUGGAACACAAAACAUUAGUACAGGUAAUUUAUUAACUAAAUUGUACACUUUUUGAUAGUUCAAGGAGGUGGUUUUCUUCUUUUAGGGUGUCAGCUUUGGAAAUAGGAUGGAUCUAAAAGUUUUUAUGUCUCAUCUUUAUAGGGAACUUGAAAGCAUGGAUGCACUUAUUUCCAUGGAAUUUGGCUUCCUUGAAAUCAAAUUAAGCUUUAUGCAUCAUUUGGAUGCUGAGAAACAAAUGGAAAUAGAAAAUUCAGAAUCUGACAAGUUUUUGUAGGGCAACUGGAUCUAAUCUCUUAGUCGAAGCCUAAUUGGGGCAAAUGCUGAUCAUCUUUGGACCCCAUUGAAAGCUCUAAUCUGUGCACAAUUCUAAUGUUUUUGUUUUCUUCAUUUCUUUUUCAACUUUUCACAAUAGAUGUCAAAGGUUAAAACCAAAUUUACGCAGUCCAUCCAAGUGGAUGCAUAUAAAUUUAACAGAAACUGAAAUUCGAAGAAAUUUAUUUUCCCUUUUGUAAAUGGUGUUUAAAUAUUUUAUUUUCUUAUAUAAUGCAUGUCAGGGUACCAUUCUGGCCUUACAUAAAGCUGAUGGUCAUCUGCUGGCUGGUGAUACAGCAGUUUGAUGGUUCAUAUUAUGUCUAUCAACACCUAGUUCAGCCAUGCUUGUCCAUGGAUCCACAAGCUGUCAUGAACUGGCUCUUCAAUGAAUCAAAAAAGAAGUUUCAUAGCAGAGAAAACUUUCUUGUUUCAGCAGACCGAUAUAUUAAGGAGAAUGGACCUGAAGCUUUGGAGAAACUACUUUCUAGGAAGGUAUGCCAUUAUAAGUAGGAUUAUCAACAAGUCAAACAGAGUUUUAUUUGAGAUGUUCAGGUAAAAAAUGACUAUAGUAGGUCAUCUAGAAUCAUUUGGUCUAAAUUCAUGUAUAUAUCUAUAUAUAAUUGUGUUCUCUUUUUUUCACAUAUGCAUGUGCAUUUAGAUUUACAUAAUUAUAUAUGCAUAAUCAGAUUCAACUGUGAUAGCCCGGAAUUAUUUCAGUAAUCAACUCUUCUGGGAACAUGUUGGUUAUGGUUUCUCUCUCACUGUCCUCUUCUUUAUACAUGACUUUGGCUUCAGUUGAGGAGCGCAAAGCCUAAUGUUGAAGUGAAAAAGAUCAAAGCACCUGCAGCACCGGAGAAAAAAGGGGAACAGGUAAGUUCUCUAAUGUGACUAUUUAAUUUCUAUGAGGCAGAUCCCCAGAGAAAUGUUGCUCAUGUAAAUUACUGAUGCAUUUGAUUCAAUGGCAUGGUUUUAAAAGAAAAACCACUUUAUGUAUGUUUCUGUGAAUAAGAGAACAAGUUUAUGGAUUAAAUGAUAUUUUUUAUGGUGGAUUAAUCAAUAAUUUUCAAAAUAAUAAUAUAUUCGUGCAUGUUUUUGCAAUUCAUGAAUUCCUUUUAUGAUUGAUUCUUCUUGCCUUUUUUCUCACCUCAGUGGAAGUGUGAAGAGCCUAAUGUUGCUCAAAAGGAGAUCCAAGUUGUCAAAGUAACAGAGAUAAAAAAUGGGGGGGAUGGAGCAAAGAGGGUAAGUUUUGCUUUUUAUUUAUAAAGUAGGCUGUCUUCACACAAGGAUUAUUAUCUUUAAGACAUGAAUGUUGAAUGCUUUUGGAAUUGUCCAUGAAUCAUGUGUAGUGUGAAUGGCCUAAUGCUGCUAAGAAGGAGGUCAAAGUGACAGAAGUAACACACAGAACAUUCGGUGGUACAGCACAGUGGGUAAGGUUUCAUGUCAUAUUUAAAUGGCUCCUCAUAUUUCACUAGGAUUAAUUUUGCCCCUACAAACAUAUUUGGCUACAAGUUAAGACAGAGUUCCAGAUGCUGAUAAAGUUGAGACAUAAGUAAUGAAUGAGUUUAGAAACAUGCACAACUCUUGUGUGAAACACAAUGAGAGUGGAAAAUAGCUAAGUUGAAAAAUGGCCAAAUACUAUUUUGUAGUUCCCCCUACCACUUAAGUAAUUUUUGUCAUCCUUUGUGAAUGGAAAAUCCAGUCCCUUCAGUAAUUCCGUUAUAUUCAUGACUUGGUGAAGCAUAUAACCAUUAGUGUCUUGCCUUAAGUCGACCUUUAAUGAUGAUCCAUUGAGAUGGGUCUGACUUUUGUCAACCCUCUUAUUCCCUUGAUCAUAGAGGUUAAACUUAGGGGGCUUAACCCACUUUUGAACCUUAUUGGAUAUAUGGCACAUGGUAUCCUCUUCAUCUUGAAAGAGUGAAGUGGUCAUACUCUUUCCUCUGAGUCCAUUGUGGCCAUGCACUUCUGGCCCAUUGGGCUGAGUGAAAGGAUUCCCUUCUGCUUCAAAUCAUAGAGAGAUAUGCCAUGGUCAGCCUCUUUAAUUCAAGGGAUCGAAGUACUCAAAUCCAUUUCUCUGCAUCCAUCUUAAUUCUGCAUUCAUGUCUCAUGGUUAACCAAGAAGAUCCAGCUUCCAUCCAUGAGAUCAGCAUCUGCAGGUUUAUGACACCACCCUUCCUUGGCAUAGGAAAGGGAUCAUUAAGCCAUGUGUUGGAUGACAGAAGUCAUCAUUCAGGUUAUCUUGAGAACUAAGGAAGUUGGAAUUCUAAUUAUUGCAUAUGGUUCUUGAUGUUUAGCCAAUAUACCGUAGGAUUUUAAGGAUCAUGCUCAUGUGCAUUGUGGUUGUUUAUCAGCUAUAUGGUUUACCAAAAUGAGGGACUGAUUAUGGUCAUAAGUACCUUUUUCCUAUUAAUUUCUUGCAUGUGCUCUGCUGAGAUUAUGUUUUUGACAGUCCAAAUCAGGGCAAACCAACAAACAGCUUUAUGUUAACUUUUACAAACUGCCACAUUUUCAGGUUAAACGAACAGAGAUAAAUCUUGGUGAAACUAGAAGUAAUACAACUUGUGCUGUGGAGAUAAAAGAAAGGGCAGCGGCACUGGUGGCUGCAGAAAUUGAGGCAUGUAGAGACGAUAGAACCCCCAAGAUACCUCUUCAUGAGAAAGUCCAGAAAGAGUGGGCUUGUGCUGUAUGCCAGGUCACAACCCAAAGUGAAGCGACCUUCAAUUCCCACCUUCAAGGGAAGAGACAUCAGGCCACUUCUGAGCAGCUGAGAGCCAAAAACCAGGCAACCAAAACCAAUUGUUCCCCAUCUGCUUCAAUGGCCAAGAAAUCUGAUCAGUCCACCAAAGAGGAGCAACCGAAGUGUACUUCCAACAAUCUGAAUUCCAAAAACAAUGGAAUCUCAGCUGCUUCAACAGUGAAGAAACCUGAUGACACCAAAGAUGAUGAGCGACAAAAGUCUGCAUCUAGCAAUGAACCGAACCAGAAGAAUAACAAAAAGCAAGAGGUACAGACCAAUGAGCAAGGCCAUCAGAAGAACUUAAAGCAAACUGGCGAUGGAAUGAAAGAGUUGAGAUUAUGCUGCAAUAUCUGUAAUGUAAGCUGCACAAGUGAGCUUGACAUGGCCUCUCAUCUCAAUGGAUGGAGGCACUUUAAUAUGAUAAAGGAGGCGUCUGAAUUAUGGUGCAGUAACUGCAAUGUAAGGUGCAACAGUGAGGCUGUCAUGGCCUCUCACCGAAAUGGGAGGAGGCACUUGAAGCAGCUGAAGGAACGGUCGGGAUUAUAGUGCAGUAUCUGUAGCGUGAGAUUGUGUUAGGAAGAGGUGGAAUGGGUUCCAAUCAGGAAUUAAGACUCGGUUCCAAGACAUGGAAAGUGUCUUUAGAUUAUGUUAUCUCCAUUUUUUUUAUUGUGAGAGGGGAGUAUAAGGAAUGAAAAUAAAUAUAUAUAUAUUUUUUAAUAGAGAUGAAUUUGAUAAUUUUAAUUAUUGUGUUUUGAUGUAUUUAGGAAUGUAAAAUUAAAAUAAUUAUUUAUUUUCAUUUUAGUAUUUGACAAUAAUAAAAUUAUGAAUUAAAAAAUAAUGUGAUAAUAAUACAUUUAUAUUUAAUUUAAAAUAUUUUUUAUUUUAUUUUAGAAGAAUAUGGGUUAAAUUCUUUUUUUAAAUAAUAAGCUUAAGAAAAAUAAUUUUUACUCAAUAAAUAAAAUUAAUCAUAAAAAGUCAUAACAACCUAAUAAAAAUAUAGGGGUAAAAUAAUAAUUUUAAAAUAUUAUUUAAGUUAUCCAAACAAAUUUGACUCUUCAUUCUCUCUCUUGAACCAAAUACGGUCUUUUAAGCGUUUGUCAACUUAUUUUUUUUUGCAAAAUAUCAAUAUUUUACUAAUAUUUUUAUCGAUUAUUUGCCAAUAUUUAUCGCCACGUCACCAAUUCUUUGAGUUUGACUUUCAAAAUUUUGAAAUGAUAUUUGAAGUCCAGUUCAGCCCAAAUCACUACACCCAUGAUUUUUCCCUUUUCUUUUUCUCCUUAAUUUUCACAUCACCCAACAACACUACUCUUAAUUCACACAAAUUUGAAGGUUUGGAACGAGACUUCUUCCUAAUUAUAUUGUAAUUAUGUUAUAAUAACCAUGUCGUAUUUGGAUUUAUUUAUUCAGUCCAUCUAAAUCUUUUGUUUAUUCAUGUAAAAAGAAUAUAGUUAUAAUCGAAUCCAUUUGUGACAUAUUCAUCUUUUAUAAAUUUAUUAAUUUUAUAUAUUUAAAAACUAUAAAAAUUAAAUAUAUUUUUUCAAUUAUGAAUAUCAUAUUACUAAAAUAUUAAAUAACUAAUUAACUUGAAAUGUUUUAUAUUUCAUUCAUUAUUUUAUAAUUACAACAUUAAGUGAAAUAAUAAAUAGGUUAAAAUAUAUAUUUUAUUUUAGUUAAAAAUUAUAAAUUGUUAUUGAGACGUAUAACUAUUAAAAUUCUACCCAUUUGACCAUCAAACAAACAACUUAAGUUUUUAGUCAUAAUUUAAGCUUCUGAUAAACUCUAUUUCCAUAAAUUAGAAACCGAAAUCAAUUUCUUCUUAGACUCAAAAACAUAAAGACAAUCUUUUAAUUCUAGAAGACAUCUAUCAUUUAAGAUAAGGGUAACAUAUCCCAUUGCCUAAACAACAACUCUUGCUUCAAAAGCCAAUGUCAAGUACAUAUCCCUAUCAUUCAACCUUUCCCUUAGCUAAAACCCCUAUAAAGAAUUAUAAACAUAAUCAAUGGCUCCAAAAUUUAUCCACCAAGAGUUAGUGGAAUCCAACACUAAACAUAAUUCAACUAUAAGAGAAUGAUGCAUAGUUGACUAUCUCUUCAAGAACUAAGGACAUUCCUUCUUCUUCUAAUGGCAUUUUUUACCACAAAGGAAACACUUGUCAUGACCCUUACUCUUCUUCUUCUUCCCCUUAGCCUUAAACUUCCCCUUCUGCUUGAUGAACUCUAUAGUGUUCUUCUUAUUUUGGCUAGAAAAACCUAAAGAACCCUUAACUGCCAUAUAAAUACCUCUCUGGUCCUUGAGAAUUCCCUCAGUCAUUUUGUGUUCUCUCAUUAGUUCAAUUGUAGUUUAAGAAAAAUAAUGUUUUUUAUUUUAUUUUAUGUGAUUGAACUUGGAAUGAAUUUCCAAGUUGCAUACAUACUUGGGUUGAGAUCAAGUCAUAACGUAGUUUAAGAAAAAGAUUUUUUAUUUUUUAUGUGAUUGAACUUGGAAUGAAUCUCUAAGCUACCUACGUAUCCAAGAUGGGAUCAAGUUCUAACAUAGUCACAAUGCAGUUCAAGAUUUUUUUUUUUCUUUUUUUGUGCUCUAACUUUUGUCAAGACUAAAGAUCUUAAUCUUGCAAGCAUGUCCUAACUUUUGUCUAGGUCACCUUUCCAAGUUUUCAACUUAGCAAACAUUUUUUUUUUUUGUUCUCUAACGUUUGCCAAGACAAAAGAUUUUAAUCUUGCAAGCAUGUCAUAACUUUUACCUAAGUCAGAUUUUUAGGUUUUCAAUGUGGUGGAUUUUUUUGUUUUUUAUUUUUUAUUUUUUAUUUUUUGUGUCGUAGGCAAUUUAGCUCAUACGGCCCAGAAGCGAUGUGUAGUUUGUUGGGAUUCAACCCUUAAAAGCAAAACAUGAUGUAACAAAGUUAGACUUAACUAUCCCCUUGCUAUCAUUUUGGUGUAUUAACAUUGAUUUAAACAUUCAACUCAUAUUUUACAUUGUACAUGACUUAGGUGCAUUAGGAGUUGCUCAUAAGAUACAUGGAUUCCUUGUAAGUAGAUGAGUUAUCCAUAGUCAGUUCAUGGAUUUGGGCAAUCUAGUAGAGACUGUAAUGCACCACCUCUUAAUUGAAGAGAUGACUUGUCUUGACAGUUGGGAUAGGUUUCCUAUGGUGAGUGCACUAGUAUAUAUGAUGCACAUUGGAUAGGACCUACGGUAAAUCAUGAGCAAAGCUAUCAAUUGUCAUGAUUCACCAAGUUACGAUACUGCAUGGACUCUCAAUCUUGAGAGGACAUUGAACCUGUGCCAAAAUCAACAAAAAGCUUUCACCUAUAGAUGAGACCUUAAAGUGAUCAUAUAUCCCUAUGGAUUGAGUCACUAUUGAUGAAGGUUGGUGGUAAUAGGUAUUCUCAAUAGAGGCACCAUGAUAUCUCAUGAGAUUGAGACGGUGUGUCCCCUUGGGUGAUACAAAGGACAUGUGAUCAUAAAAUCUGUGACCAUAGUAAUUCUUUUAUUGAAAUUUGACAUAUACCCCUUCGAGCUAGAGUAUGUCAGUUGAUUACAUAAUAAGUGGCAUCUAUAACUUAAGGAUUUGAGAGGUAAUCUUGAUAGGUGAUAGCACUACCUUGUUAGAUUAUGGACACCAGUUCAUGGGGAAUCUACAUGCAGUGGAUGAUAUGUCACGAACGCGAGCUUCAUAUCGUUGUUAUUAACAUAGGAUACUGGAGUGCAAUUGAUUCUCUUUAGUAGAAUGUUGAAUCAACUUCAAAAUGGAUUAUGAGGGAGCCAAUACUCCUAUGGGUCUUAAUGGUCCCCACUCUGAGCUCAUAUACCAUGAUGACACAGUUUAUGAGGGUUUGAUUGGCUUUAUGUUCAUUUUUGUGCAUAAGGGCAUUUUGGUAAUUACACAAGGUUACAUAGGGGAUAGUCAAUAAGGUCUUUAGAUUGGGCCAAUUGAUUAAUUAGAUGACCUUAUGUGGUUAAUUAAUCAAUUAUGAUAUGUUUAGGCUAGAUUAAAUGACCCAAGCCUUGAUGAAUUUAAGUCACUUAAGCCUAGCAGAUAACCUUAUAAAUACCCUCUUAUGGGUUAGGGUUUCCUAAUGACUUUCAGUUAAUCAUCUUCCAUCCCUAGAAAGAGAAAGAGAGCCAAAUCUUUCUCCCUUCCAUUGCCCACACUUUGGUAUGCCAAGAUCAUGGUUCAAGUCACUGGGAGGAAGAUCUUGGGUGUACAAGACCUUCGGACUCUUUAAGUUUCUUCUUCGUUGGAUGAAUUUUUAUUUGGGACACAUCUAGAUCAUAAGUAUGUGUUAGAAAAUUUGGCUAAUUCAACUUAAGGUAAUCACUCUAGAGGAGGGGUGAAUAGGGUGAUGAUCUUUUUUUACAAAUUUAAAUUAUGUGAAUGCAAGAGACAAUUAUACUAUGCAAAUAUAUAGUAAAACCAUAUAAAAAUAAUUGCAUAUAAAGUACAAGGGUAGAAAAUAGAGAAUAUAAACACAAGAUUUUUAUAGUGGUUUGGUGCAACUCGGCCUACAUCCAUUCUCCUCUAGCUUCAAUCCCAAGUUUGAGGUUCCACUAAUUCAAGGCUUCCAACCUAACCCUUCAAGCAAUACAAUUGGAUUAUGGUUCCAAUCAAACCUUUUGGACUUUUGGCUCUAAGCACCUUUUACAAUCUUUGAUUCGUGCCUAACUGGUGUUUGCCCUGUUGAUUGGUGUUCAAUCAACUGAUGUGCUUUGAUUUCAGUCCUCAGACGAGAGUAAUCAACAAAAUUUAUAAACCUAUUUCACCAUAUACUAGGGUAGCAUUAGCUAGCAUAGCAUAGUGGCUCUAGGAUCGUCCACAGGGAUGGGUUUUCAAAUUACAAUUGAUAUUAGUUCAAAAACUGAAUUGGUGUUUUUUCUUUUCAAGGUUAGCUUUAAAAGAAAACAUAAGUAUGUGUGAAAAGGUUGGUUUUAAGUGAAACCAAAAAUAAAGUAACUGAAAUUACUUACAAAGAAAAGUGCUUCUUGGAGUUUUAGAUCACUAGGCUCAAGUUCCUUAUACAAAAAGAGAGAUUCCGAUCACUUGGAUCUUUUCCUAGCAUUGGGGAUUUAACAUAUAGUUAUUUCCCGAACCGGUGCGGUACAGAUGCUUCCCCUUAAUGGUUUCAAACACUAAAUCUCUAUCACUGAAUCAUCUUGUAAUGGUUCAUACCUCUCACCUGGUAUUGGUCAUUUAAGGUGAUCAUUAACCUUGGAUUACCCGUCAAAAGCUCGCAAAAGAUAACUAAUGAAUGUCUCCUAGGAGUCCAAAAGCUUACCAAGUGUUGGCUAUUCUAGAUAAUCCUACCUUUAAACCAUCUCCCAAAAGCUCGCAAGAGAUAAACUAGUGGAUCUCAAUGGACGGAGUCCACUUGCCUUACCAAGUGUUGGCCCAAGUGAUUUUAAGGGAUUUUAAGUUAACUAAAAAGAUAAAAACCAUUAACGGGUCACACUUUCUCUUCAUUAAAACCUGAAACAAUGAAACUUCCACUUUUGUAUACGAAACCUUACCUAGCUUCCUUCACUCCAAGAAACAAAAAGCCUAGCCACUCAUCCUCUAGGAAAACAUCCUCAGAGUUUGAUUUGGUAGAAAUAAAAAUAAAAGAGAAAACCAAAUGUGAAGGUAAGGCCGAGCAGAGCUCUGUGUAUUACUUUAUGAAAAACUAUACAAAAUUUGUCUCUAAGAGAAACUCCCCCGAGAUCUCUUUUAAAAGAAAAUUACAAUAGAUAUCAUAUAAAGAGGCUAUUCACCCCUCUUGCUAACUUCCCAACCAUGAAAACUUGUCAAUGGUGGGUUACAAGGAGAAAAUAGGGAUUUACACACAAAUAUUUGAAGAUAAACAUCAAACUGAGUCGGUGCGCAAAUAUCUCAGAUUACAAGUGGAUUUCGCAAGUUCAAACGCAACUUGCAAAAAUUUUGCAAGUUGAAAUUAUGGUUUCGCAAGUUGCGAAAUUGUCCUGCAACUAAUCAGCUCUCUGUCCUACAACAAUUCCUUUCCUCUUCCUAUUUCGCAAGUUGUGAGAAUUUCGCAAGUUGGAUUCCACAACUUGCAAAAUUGUUGGAUGGUUGAUUUCUUUUGUGAUUUUCUUCCUUGCAUCCUCAUUUGGCUUUGGCAAAGGGUUAUGAAGCUCCAAAGCUUAGUUUCUUCAUGAAUUUGAGCUUCAACUUGCUUUGCCAUGAACUAUACAAAGAUCUCCCUCAUUCUUGGAUUGCUUUGGUGAUAAAAAAGCUAUGAAAAACACCAAAACUUAACACAAUUUGAUUAGAAACGAUUGUAAGGGUCUUUAACAUGCCAAUUGAGUUAAAAGGUAAUAGCUACUACUCAAAAGUGUUUAAAAGAGUUAAUUACAAGCUAUAAAAUGACCCUUUUUGAAGUUCAACCCCUUAAGUGAUACCCCUUAAGUGAUACCCCUUAAUUCAAGAGAUGUCUUACUCUUAAACAACCCCUUAAGUGAUACCCCAUACUUGAGAUUCCCUAAGUGAUGCCUCACACUUAGAUUUUUCAUCUCAAAGAUUUACAAAUGAAGAUAGGAAAUAAUCUCACAAAAUCUUAAUACAAAACAUUAGGCUCAAAUGAUACAAGAUAAACUAUGAUUGAAUGGUGCACUAAUAAUAUGCAAGUUUUAAAACAAUGAGUACUAAAAAACACUCUCCUAAGGUUCAAAUAUAUUCAAGAAAGAUUUAAGAAGGUUAAACUCUUGAAACAAUAAAGAUUGAAACCUUUUUAUGGAGGAGAAAUGCCAAACUAGUUGUUGGGGGUUUGUCCAGUCGAGUUCUGGUUUGACCGGUUCACUAACCGUUAGCAUUUAAUGCAUGAUAGGUGAUCAUUGGGCCUUGACCAUCCCUCGACCAGUACUCAACCGGAUAAAGUUCAACCUUAAUCAAUCGAAUAAGCAUUCUAGAAUAGAGAGAAGGUUUUUGCACCUUUCAAUCAGUUGAGUUGAACAAAUAGACGGAUUCCUUAUCCAGUUCAACCGGUUGAGCCAUUUUUGGCUCAACAAUCAUCAUUUUCAACUUAAAACCUUUUAAACAAGUUUAGAAAGCAUUUGACACAAGGAUUUAGUUGAAAACAUUAAAUCAUCCUAUUUUUAAAAGAUUUAAAACAAAAUACCUCUUGAAUGAUUUUGGUGUAUAAGUAAAUAAUGUAAUGCAUGAAAAACCCAGUGCGCCAACAACCUUACAAAGAGAUCUUAUGAGGCUUAGGUAUUGAAAAACACUUCUCUUUAAGGCAGACAACAUCGUGUGAAUACCAAAGGGGAACUCUACGUUCCUAGGGAAAGAUGCCUCGUCAGUACGUCUUGAGGUUGUUCACUAACUUCGGGGUUACCGGCUUUGAGAGGAGCCCUUUGAUGACAUUUGGGCAUGCAACUCUUCAUUUUCUUCCUUGAUUCGCCUUGUUUGGUGGAUCAAAGAUUGCAUAUGCCAGUCAUUUUUGCACUAGGUUCUCUCCAUGCUUUCACGCCAGCCAAAGUAGCUUUCGUUACCCAUAGUUGAGGAUCGGCUUCUAAAGGGUACUAACAUCCUUAGUCAUUCCCACAGAUGACACCAAUGUUGGUUCUGAGUCGGCUGAAGUCAAAUUCAUCCAACUUAACGGAAGUUUGACAACCUUCCUCCAUUUUUUGUGCCUCUUAGAGAAUCCACCUAGCAGUAAUGAGAUUGGGCGAACUCCUUUCUUGCACAAAAGAAUGUUCAGAUGAGUACUUCGGGUACGCCCUUCGAAGCUUAAGUGAGGCAAAAAUAGCUCAAACUACUUAAUGAGAGAGAGUGGAUAGGUGAAUAUGUGCCUACCUUGUUCGUGCUUUUUGAGGGGUUUAUAUAAUGUUGAUGAGAAUGCCACUAUAGUGCUUACUAGACACUUUAACUUUCUUCUAUAAUGAUGAUUGUCUUGCAGGCGGUUGGGCAAUCAUCAAAAUUUUGGGUGGCUGAUAGGUGCCAUCAACUAACGUGCCAUGAUCUUAGACCAUGCAGUAACCUGUUCCCUCAGUCUGUUGAUGGCCUAAGGUUAUGUGCAACAAUUAAUUGACAUGGACUUGAGGGCUAGAAGAGGUCCCAUCGGCCGUUCACAUGUCAAGUGUGAAUGAUCACUCAUGCUAGUGGGUCUUGAAGAUUUGACUAGACAACCUUACCUAUUUGGGAGGUCCAACCUCCCAUUGCCGUUGUUUUGGCCUUAUAGGAGAAAAGGGCUUUCUCAUGUAUGGUGCUAGAGGGACUAGUCGUGAUCCAGAUGAGUUGCAUACCCAUGCUAGAUGGUCGAAGUGUCCGGGUUGGAAAUGGAGGGAAGCCUCCCACAAAUAUGAGGGAGCCUUAUGAAAACGGAUCCUUAGGGCUUAAGAAGGGGUUUUCAAUUUUAAGGUUUGCCUUUUCACCCAAGGAUGUGAAUGGGAAGAUGAGGCGAAGUUAAAAGAUUGGUGAAGCAAAGUGAGGGCAAGGUAGGGUUUGAAUAAAGGAAAGUAUACACUAUUAAUGAAGAUGAUAAUCUCUAGAAAGAAAAACUAAGGUAAACUAGGGCUUUAAUAAUAAUUUUCAAUCUACACUAGUGAAGAGGAUAUCUUCGAAAACCAAAGUUAGGGCUUCAAUAACGAAUUUCAAUCUACAAUGGUGAAGACAAUAAUCUUCGAAAACCAAAUCUAUAAUGAUGAAGAUGAUUGAAAACUAAAUCUAUACUAGUGAAGACGAUUGGAAAGCAAAUCUACACUGGUGAAGACAAUGAAACCAAAUGUAGGUCUUCUAAACUAAACGCUUUUAAGGAUUUUCCUUUUUUUUUUCCUUUGUUUUCAAGAAAGGCAAACUCUUUAGAAAACUAAAAAAACUAAUGCAUUCUUAGAUCCAGAUCACUAUUUCCAACAUGGUAUUUGGAUUGCCAGCUUGCAUUUUUUAUUUUUUUAUUUUUUUAAUAGUCAUUGGCAUUUUAGGGAUUAUUGAAGGAUAAUAUCAUUCAGCUCAAUUUCCCAAAUUAGUUAGGUCUUACACUCAAAUGUGAAACUUAUAUGGAUGUUAGGCCAAUUAUCAAACUCAUCUGCCCUAAAACAUAAUUUCCCUUUUUUAAAAUAGUUGUUAAACAUCUAUCCCAAACACGUUUAACCCUUUGAAUUGCUUGUAUGUUAACCUUGUUUCCUUUUCUUCAUGCAACAUGGCUUAUUGAUGGUUGCAUUGAAUCAUUAUCAUUCACCAAUUCCAUGCAACUAUGGACUACAUUUCAAAUCCCUCGAACAUAAAUGGUAAUUCCAAAACAACUCAAGUAUAAUCUUUUCAACCCUUUCAAAUGAUUUAAUUAAUUGAUUUUUGAAUAUAUUCAUAUAUUUUUUUGAGCAAUUUUUAGGCAUAUAACAUAAAUCUCUUUUUUAUAUAUAUAUAAAAGGUUUUAUAUUUUAUAUUACAAUUUCCUUUUGUUUUUUCAUCUAAAAAACAAAACAUAAAACCUUAAUAAACGAGUUUUGUCACAAUCCCUUAACAAGUAAUCUAUUUUUUAAAUUACUUUAACAUUUUUAGAUAUAUUGAUUCAAUCUAAUUUACUUUUAAUAUUUUUUAUAAAAUAUUUUUACUUUAUAUGACUAUAAAUUAAUUACUAUUGAUUGCAUAUUAUAGAAUAUAUAUUCUAAAAUAUAUCUUAUUGACAAUAUAAUCAUAAGAUGUUAUAUCCAUAUCCUAACAUAUUAUAUACUUUUAUUUUGUGCAAUUAGCAACAUGGUGGGAAGUGGCAAGCAGCUUAACGGAAAUGUCAUGUGCCAAUGUGCCAUGCGUGUCCCUUCCCUUAGUGAGUCUGAACUGCUCCAACAUUUCCGACAUGUUAUUUUUUACUUAGCUCUUAAGUAUUUUCGUCUCGUUUUCGUUAACCCCAUCACAUUUCGCCACAUGGAUCUAAGCCUCAUGGUCCUUUCGUUCGUACAAUGAAUGUUCCCCCAAUUCCUUAUCUACACUAAAACUCCAUACUCGCCAUCUACUCAACCACUUCUCUACUCUAGAGUUUGGGUCCUUUAUCUCUGCACGUGUCUAUGGCUUUUCACCCCAACAAGUAUGGCAUUACAAGGGCAAUAUCGUCAUUAAAGACCCAAAAGGGAAACCAAUGGCAUUAUCUUCCUUUUGGUCUAUUCUAUUUAUAUUGUAAGUUAUUCGUGAUGACUUCUCCCAUAAAAGCUAAAAACCACUCCAAUAGAGCACACUUCACUUCUUCAUUUUUUUUUUUCCAGAUAAGCUCAGAAAGCCCAGCUCAUCCCUCAACUCCCCGAUGGGUUUGAUGAAUGUUCUUAAAUUCUCAACUGCAUGCUUUGAUCUUCUUAUCUGGUAUAUUGUCCACGCAUUUUCUUGUCAUUGGAAAAUUUUGGAAAAUGAAAUGGAAUUCUAUGUUUGAUGACAAAACUGGGAUUUGCUUUGAUUUCUCCAUGUUGGUUUUAUCCCUUUUGUUUGAAUUGUCCACAUUCUUGUCAUUGGUUGUUAGUUAUUUGUUUGGAUUUCUACUUGUAGGCCUCUGUUUGCACUGGGUUAUCCUCUAUAAAUCUUGGUCUUACACACCAAGAUAUGAUGAUUCAUUUACUCUUUUCUUGUUCUAUGAAUUCUUAGUUCUGUUACAUUUAUUGGGUUGGAAAACUGAAAAAGGAAAGGAUUAUUCGUUAUUAUCAUAAUAAUCAUCAACGUCAUCUCAAUUAUUCACAGAUGUGCAUCAAUUCAGGUAAUUGAGACUAACUCGAUCUCAGACAUUCAGAAGUUGGUGGCAUAUUGGGUUCUAUUUUCCUUGAUUUCACUUUUUGAUCGUACUUUUUCCAAGCUCCUUGAAUGGUAAUUUUGUUCAACUUCAUUCCAUCAUAUGUGGCUCUAUUUGUUUCAUUUCUUUGCCCUUCAGGAAUUUGGAGUUGCCUUUUUUAGUUUUCUUCCCUGUGAAAAUAAUCGAGAUGUUUAAUGUUCCAAGCCUCCAUGUAUUUUAUUUUCCUUCAUUUCUCUGCUUUGAUAAAUCCCCAUGAUUUGAUCAGCAAAAAGGCUAUAACAUUUGACAAAGAAAUGCUUUAUUUUGGUUUUUUAAGUACAACAAUUUUCAUUUGGAGAAAUGGUCUAAAGGGUAUCGGUGUUUGGAUGAAUCAUGGAAUUUUCUCGCUAAUUUGGGAUUUAUUCUCAAUUUCAAUAUCAUUGUGGAUAUUUCAAAAAUUAAUGAAAUAUAUAUGAUGGAAUGUGAUUUUCUUGUUUAAGAAAAGUUUUUCUUUAAAAAUUUAGGUAACCCUGACCUACCUUAUUGUGCUACUCGAAACACAAAACAAAAGUACAAGUAAUUUAGUAACUAAAUUGCACACUUUUUGAUAGUUCAAGGAAGUGGUGUUAGCUUUGGAAAUAAGAUGGAUCUACUAGUUUUUAUUUCUCAUCUUUAUAGGGAACUUUCCAUAAUAUAGCUUAUAAAUACCAUAAUCACAGUGAUGAAUAAUUGUCUUGUUUGAAAGCAUGGUUGCACUUAUUUGCAUGGAAUUUGUCUGCGUUGAAAUUAAAUUAAGCUUUAUGCAUCAUUUGGAUGCUGAGAAACAAAUGAAAAUAGAAAAUUCAAAAUUUGACAAGUUUGUGUAGGGAAAUUGGAUCUAAUCUCUUAAUCGAAGCUUAAUUAGGGCAAAUGUUGAUCCUCUUUGGACCUAUUGAAAGCUCUAAUCUGUGCACAAUUCUAAUGUUUUUGUUUCCUUAAUUUCUUUUUCAACUUUUCAACAAAGCAUCAAUUUGCUAUAAUAAAUGAGAACCAACUUGACGAUGAGAAAAAUGACUGGUGAUGAUGUCAUAGAGAAUCGCAGAUGAGAACAACCAAAAAUACUAGGAUUGGUACCACUGAUGGUAAUGAAGAAAACACAAAAAUGGUGCAAAUGGUGAACAGGAAACUCAAAAUGGAAUGGGAAAAGAAACCUAAACAAUAGUCUCCUAUAUAAAGCACACAACAUGUACAUCGAGGCAUCUGAAAGGACACGCUGCCUGAGAAGUCACUCUAAUUGAUGUGACUCCUCAUGACGUGGGUGGUGGACAUAUGUCCCAUGGUGCCAAAAAUUUCAAACACUCAAGCAACCGAAUACUUUCACUUAGUCAUUUAAAGCCUAGCUAGACUCAAUUGCAAGAAUUAAGGGCAUUGUGGGAUGCUCACCACCGUCUAUCAUGGUCCUCAAACACUGUCUGGUGUGAGACAUAUUGGCACAAGAGCCAUGUAGCUUCUCUAUCCACCCCAAGAUACUCCUAGGGUAGCAAACGAACACAAUCCGACCAAACACUAUGCAUUCCUACCCUACAAGCAUUAAUUUCAAUGAGCAAUAAGUGUAUUAACACAUUAAUGAAUGCAACCGUUAUAACGCUAAAACGCCAUACUUUAAGGUUCAUCAAGACACAACAACCAUUAUGGGCCGACAAUUAUUGGCGUUAAAUAUGGUAAUGCGCAAUCAAAGGCUCAAUUAAGGCCCUUUAGAAGACGUUACUAUUGGGCAAAGAUAAAUAACCAUUUUUUACCACAAGAAAGUCUGAUGCCAUUUUUUUCACAAAAACUUUUGCUUAAGUCUUCCAUCUCUAACCUAAGCUUUGAAGGGGUGUACUUGGAAAACCUAUCCGAACAUUCCUUUAUGUAGGUGCAAUCAUCGUUUAUGUCACGCGAAGGCUAGUCAAAGACCUUUAUUGGUCGUGCACCAAUAAAUCUAUUUAGUAUAUCUCAUUUAUCCGUUCAAGUGAGAUGAAGGAGUGACCUAAAGAUAGAUUGGAAACAUCAUAGUUUCUUAUAUUGGUAAGGCAGCAACAACCUCGGCUAGUGCAUCAACCUGCUCGUUUUCCUCUAGGGGUACGCGUUUGAUAAACCAUUCAUUCAAUUUUUCUGUUCAAGUGUACCAAAGAGAGGUAAUGAGCCAUGCAUUCAUCUCAAGCUUCAUAUUUUAGUUAGAUUUGUUCACCCACUAGUUGUGAAUUGCUUUUGAUUUCUACUUUCAUGGUUGUGAGAGCUAAGGCUAGAUCGUCUCAUAAGAAUUGCUUCAUAUUUUGCCUCAAUAUUAGAUACUGGAAAGUUGAGACAGACGACUUGUUCAAUUUGCUCUCCUGUAAGGAAUUGUUGUGUUAGUCCUAUCCUAGCUUCUGAUGUUCUAGAGGCUUCGUCUACAUGGAGAACACGCCAUUGUUCUUCAUUGUUAGACCUUGUCCAUUUUUGGGGUGGUUCGACUAUGAAAUCAAUGAGAACUUGCUAUUUGAGAUACUAAUGAGGUUUGUACCGUAUGUAAUAUUCACUCAAUUUGAUUGCCCAAUUCACCAUUCGACUAGAUAGAUUUAGCUUGUGCAACGUGACCCACAACGGUUGAUUUGUCAAGACCGUUAUUUGGUGCGCCUGAAAAUAUGGACAAAGCUUCUUGGCAGCGAUCCGUAAGUUCAGAGCCAUUUGUUCCACUUAAGAAUAUCGUGUUUUUGUGUCAAUCAUAGCUUUUCUCACAUAGUAAAUAAGUCUUUGUUCAUUACUCUAAUUGUGUGGAAACAAUAUGACAUUGACAGCAAAGUUUGACACAACCAGGUACAUGUAUAACUCUUCUCUAGCUUCAAGACUACUUAAGAUUGGUGGCUUCGUAAGAUACUGUUUGAUGUCUUUAAAGGCAUGCUCACACUCAUCCAUCUAACUAGACAUCUUUGCUCCCUAGAGUUUGCUCAAGAAAGGUCUGAGCUUAUUUAUGAAGCGUGUUAUGAACCAACCUAAGGUGAUUAGACACCCAGUUAGACGUUGCACUUCCUUCUUGCUAGUAGGAGCAGGGAUUUCUAACACUACUUUCACUUGAGCCAGAUCGACUUCAAUACCCCCUUUGAGUCACCAUGAACACAAGAAACUUCCACUCACUUACUCUAAAUGCAUAUUUUAUUGGAUUAAGCUUCAUGUCAUACCUGCACAUUAAACUGAAUGCUUCUUCCAAAUGGAGGAGCUUCUUGGAACGAGUUAUUCUCUUAAUGACAAUGUCAUCGAUAUAGACUUCCAACGUUCGACCUAUCAAGGGCUUAAAAAUAUGGGUCAUCAACUGUUGGUACGUAGCUCCAAUGUUCAUUAACCCAAGCGACAUGAUCUUGUAAAAGUACAACUCCUUAUGUGUAAUAAAUGUCAUCUUCUCUUUGUCAUGUGGAAACAUUGGUAUCUGGUGGUAUCCAAAAGAAGCAUCAAGAAAAGACAACAUUCCAUGCCUGGUUGUGGCAUCGACUAUCUAAUCUAUCUAGAGCAAUGGGAAGCUAUCUUUCAAGCAGACUUCAUUCAUAUCCACGUAGUCUGCGCACACCUGCCAUUUUUCUCCUUUCUUGGUACCACUACCACAUUUGUUAACUAGUCCAAGUAGGUCACCUCCUUGAUAAAUCUUCCUUUUAAUAGCUUCUCAACUUCUAUCUAGAUAAUUUUUUGAUGAUCCAACUAGAAACGUCAGACUUUAUAUUGUAUGGGUCGUGCUGUAGGAAGAAGGUUCAACUUAUGAGAGCUCACCGCUAGGUCUAUUCCAAGCAUUUCCGAAUGAAUCCACACGAGGAUAUCCUUGUUUUUACAAAGCAUUUCACCAACAUUACCACAUUCAUCCCUAGUUAGCAAAAAAUUAGCGUAAGUCAUCUGCUUAUUAUUUUUCGACAAAGAUAGCUAUUGUAAUAGGCUGAUUGCCAAUGAGUCUCUAUCCUCUAGUUUUCCUUCGACCUAAUUCUAUAAUUGUUAUUAGCUCUCUCUUGAUGAUUUGAGUUCAUCUUUAGUUGGGCCUGAACUCCAUCGCCACUUAGUAACACUACUAGGUGGCUAAUUGGAUUCCAUGUGGAUCCACUUACCCAAAUUCUGUCAGGUAGCUCACCAUCUUAUGAUAGGUGGAUGGAAUAACUUUCAUCUUAUGUAGGUACGACAACCUUAUGAUGGUGUUGUACGACGGUAAAUCCUCUACUAUAGAAAAUCAUACGUUGAGAGUAGGCGGGUUGGCUUGGACAAGAAGUACCACGUCGCAUAGUGAUAUUGUGGCAACCCUAUUAAACCCAAACAAAAGUCGAACUAGAUUUUCUAAGGCAGAUGACGAACAUCCCAUUUUCCUGUAGGUUGACAUAUGCAAUAAAUUGGAAUGAUCAUUUUAGGAAGGAUCACUUGAUUAAUGUUAAUUGAAGGGAAAGUGAUUGGGUCAUUGACUGGUCGGGCACUUUCGACAGUAAAUGUGCACUGAACUGCACUUACUCUUUCCCUCCCUGUAGUCGCACAGAGCAUUCGUCUCCUUUGUUGUUUGGAGUGAUAUUUGUCAUCUACUAUUUCCCCAUGGAUAUAGUUAAUCACUACUCGAUGUGUUGUGGGAGAGUCAGGAACUCACUCUGACACUUCACGUGUCAUUUCUUUAUGUCCACCAGUUGCUCAGACAUACAACUUGAGAUGUCCGGUAAUGAUUAGUUUCUCCACCAAGUAGUGCAAAUUUUUGCACUCUUCUGUGGUGUGCCCAUGCUCCUUAUGAUAGAAUCAUCGCAAUCCUCGAUCAUGCUUGGACGAAUCAGUUUUGAUGGGCUCUAGCCACUUGAACUCGAGCAGCUCUCAAAUCAAGAGGAGAAUUCUAUCAUAAAAAAUGGUCAACGGGGUGAGCCUAGGCGAUUAUCAUUGUUGUUGUCUUUCUUGUCCUUGAUUAGUCUAUCUAGACUGGCUUGAGGGCUUUAAGCUCUUAGCCUUCUUUUUUAAUUGCUCGGUUUAUAACCAGGAUUUGUUGAGAGGUUACCUAAACAUCCUCCUCAAGCAUGACAUGUUUGCCCACUCGUCUAAAUAGGUCAUUCAUUGUAGUGGGCAACUUUUUGGCCAUGGACUUGAAGAAUUGAGUGCUUGGACUGAUGAUCCAUUUGAAGAUCUGCAGGAUAGCAUCCAUGUUGUAAGAUUCCAUCUAGAACACCGCUUGUCUGAAUCACUUCAUGAAGUCCCUUAGCGAUUCAUUCUCCUACAUCUGAAUGUUCUAUAAGGUGCUUAUAUUCUGCUUUUGGCGAGCAAAACAUAAAUAAUGGCCCACAAAGGCCUCUAAAACAUCUGUCAUCUGUUGUUGGAAGUGCAUCAGGUGAACAAAAGAGUCACCAUCCCAUAGUAAAUAGUAAAUUUGGGCACCGGAAACCCCUGGGCAGCUCAUAACUAAUGAUAUGUGGGUCAAACGACAUGAAGAGCAUGUCAUCCAAUCAUCUACUUAUGGAGUCAAGAGGGGCUUUUGUCAAUGGGUUAUUUGUCGAUUGUAGUUCUAGUAUUGAACAUUAAGGCAGACGGCUUGGUGAUGCCUCAUCGUUUGAUUGGCCUAAUUGUGCUUUCAAGGCCUCCAAUAUGCAUGGCGAUGCUAGUGUUCUUCUCUCCUGAUACCCAAGAUAGGCUUUCAGGGCAUCUGAGAGACGUAAGCCCCAUUCUUAACCCAUUUUCCAUUUUUCUCCAAUAGAGCUUGCAACCUCUUUCGCUUGAGUUCGAUCGACUACUGAAUGCACUAGUUCAAGUAAUGUUAGCGAACUGCUAGUAGACAAUCCCUCAUCCACUGUUUGUAGAGACGACUUAGUGUAUCAUUGAAGAACUUUCAUUGUUUGGCUUCAAACUACUCUUGAAGUCGUCUAUUGGUUGGAGGUACGAUGACUUUUUUAUCAGCACCCCAUAGCCACUUGUGCUCGUAGCUCUUGGUUCUCUUGCUGUAGUUGUUCUGCCUGUUGGACAGGGACUACAUAGGUUAUUCAUAUUCUUCUUGCUUUUUUUCUAUCUUUCCUUGCCAAGCUUGGAAUCGCUCGUCAACAUUUGCAGAAUGAGUUGCAGGAGGCGUGUUAACCAUCGUGUUUUUUAGGCAUUUGUGGUUGAUUCCCAUAGACAAUGCCAAUGUUGGUGCACGACCAGUAAAAAAAGGUGUUUGGCUAGUCUCCAUGUAACAUAGAUGACGAUUGCACCUGCACAAAGGAAUGUCUGAAUGGGUUUUUCAGGUACACCUUUCCAAAGCUUAGGUCAGAAAUGGAAGACUUAAGCAAGAGUUUUUGUGGAAAAAUUGGUAGCAUACUUUUCUUGUGGUUAAGAAUAACUAUUUAUCUUUGUCCAACUAUAAUAUCUUCUCAGAUGCCUUAAUUGAGCCUUUGAUUGUGCAUUAUCAUCUUUAAUGUCAAUGAUAGCCAACCCAUAAUGGUUGUUGUGUCUUGAUGAACCUUAAAGGUUGGCGUUUUAACCUCAUAAUGAUUGCAUCCAUCAAUGCGUUAAUGCACUAAUUGCCUAUUGCAAUUAAUGCUUGUUGGGCAAGAAUGCAUAGUGCCCGAUUAGAUUGUGUUUGUUUGGUACCCUAAGAGUACCCUGGGGUGGACAAAAAAGCCACAUGGCUCUUGUUCUAACAUGUCUCGACUAGACAGUGUUUGAGGAUCAUGUUAGAUGGUGAUGAGCAUCCCACAGUGAAGACGUAUGAUGAAAGCAAAGGUAGGGCUUCUAAACCAAACGCUUUUAGGGAUUUUUUUUUUUUUUUCAACAAAGUUGACCUCUUCAAGGAAAAAAAAAAAGGUUAAAAAAACUAUUGCUUUUUUGGAUCCAAAUCACCAUUUCCAAUGUGAUAUUUGGAUUUCCACCAUGUAUUUUUUUUUUUUUUAACAGUCAAGGACAUUUUAUGGAUUAUUGAAAGAUAAUAUCUUUCAACUUAAUUUCCUACAUUAAUUAAGUCUUAGGCUCAAAUGUGAAACUUAAGUGGUUGUUAGGCCAUCAAACCCAUCUGCCCUAAAGUAUAAUUUCCCAUUUUCAAAAUAUAUAGUUGUUAAACAUCUAUCCCAAACUAUUGUAACCCUUUGAAGUGCUUGGUAUGUUAACCUUGUUUCCUUUUCCUUAUGCAACAUGGCUAAUUGAUUGUUGCAUUGAAUCAUUAUCAUUCACCAAAUCCAUUCAACUAUGGACUUACCUUUCAAAUCCCUCUAACAAAAAUGGUAAUUCCAAAACAACUCAAGUCUAAUGUUCUCAACUCUUUCAAAUGAUUUAAUUAAUUGGUGUUUGAAUAUACCUCUUAUAUUUUUUUAGAGCAAUUUUUAGGCACAUAACAUAAAUUUCUAAUUUUUUUUUAGAAAAGGUUUUAUAUUUUAUAUUUUAUAUUACAACUUCCCCUUUUUUUUCCAUCUAAAAAACAAAACAUAAAACCUUAAUAACCGAGUUUUGUCACAAACCCUUAACAAAUAAUCUAUUUUCCAAAAAUUACUUUAACAUCUUUAAACAUAUUGAUUUAGUAUACUUUACUUUUAAUAUUUUUUGAAAAAUAUUUUUAUUUUAUAUGAUUAUUAAUUAAUUAAGAUUGAUUGGGUAUGGUAGAAUAUAUAUUCCAAAAUACAUCGUAUUGAGAACAAUAUCACAAGAUAUUAUAUCCAUAUCUUAACAUAUUAUAUACUUUUAUUUUGUGCAAUUAGCAAUUGGACGGAAGGUAGGGAGCCGGCUUAAUGGAAAUGUCGCAUCUCACGUGUGUCCCUUCCCUUACCAAGUCUCAACAAAGGAUGAAAAUAUCGGUAAUCACGGAUAUAUCGGUACUUCGAUUUUACGGAUAUAUUAGAUAUAUCAGAGAUAUAUUGACGGAUAUUUUGGAAAAAAAUAUCGAUAAGCCUAAAAUUGAUCAAAAUUUAUAAAAAUAUAAAAAAAACUUCAUAAAAAUGUAAUUAAAAGAAGGUCGUAUAAGUUACUCAUGUUGAUCAUGUGAUAUAUCACGAGAUAUAAUCGAUUUUUGGGAAUUUCUCACGAAAAUAUCGCGACAUUUCUUCCUUGUCUCGACUGCUCCAAGAUUUCCUAUACGCCCUUCUUCGCUUAGCUCUUAAGUCUUUUCUUCUCCUCUUCCUCAAACCCAUCACAUUUCGCCGCGUGGAGCUAAGUCUCAAGGUCCUUUUGUUCGUACGAUGUAUGUUCCCCCAAUUCCUCAUCUACCUUGAAACUCCAUACUCGCCAUCUACUCAACCACUUCUCUACUCUAGAGUCUGGAUGCUUUAUCUCCGCGAGUGUCGAUGGCUCUUCACCCCAGCGAGUAUGGAAUUACAAGGGCAAUAUCGUCAUUAAAGACACAACAGGCAAACCAAUGGCAUUGUCUUCCUUUUGGUCUAUUUUAUUUAUGCUGUAAGUAUUCGUGCUUGACUUCUCCCGCGUCUCUUAUAAAAACUAAAGAAAACCACUCCAACAGAGCACACUUCAAGAAUCUUCUUUUUUUUUUUCUUUCCUCUUUCUCUUUACAUAUAUACUGAGAAAGCCCAGCUCAUCCCUCAAUUCCCAGAUGGGUUUUAUGAAUGUUCUCAAGUUCUCAGCUGCAUGCUUUGAUAUUCUUGCCUGGUAUGUUGUCCACGCAUUUUCUCGCCAUUGGAAAUUUUUGGAAAAUGAAGUGGAAUUCUCUGUUUGAGGACAAACAUGGGAUUUUCUUUGAUUUCUCCCUGUUGGUUUUAUCUAUAUUCUUUGGAUUACCCACAUUCUUGUCAUUGAUUGUUAGUCAUUUGUUUGGAUUUCUACUUGCAGGCCUCUAUUUGCACUGGGUUAUCCUCUGUAAGUCUUGGUCUUACACCUCAAGAUAUGAUGAUUCAUUUACUCUUUUCUUGUUCUACGAAUAGUUCAGUUACAUUUAUUGUGUUGGGAAACUGAAAAGGGAAAGGAUUAUUCUUUAUUAUCGUAAUAAUCAUCAACAUCAUCUCGGUUCUUCACAGAUGUUCUUCAAUUCGGGCAAUUGAGACUAACUCAAUCUCAGACUUUCGGAAGUUGGUGGCGUAUUGGGUUCUAUUUUCCUUGAUUUCACUCUUUGAUCAUGCUUUUUCCAAGCUCCUUGAAUGGUAAUUUUGCUCAACUGCGUUCCACUAUAUGUGACUCUGUUUGUUUCAUUUCUUUGCCCUUAAGGAAUUUGGAGUUGCUUUUUUCAGUUUUCUUUCCUAUGAAAAUAAUCGAGAUGUUUAAUGUUCCAGGCCUCCAUGUAUUUUAUAUUCCUUCAUUUCUCUGCUUUGACAAAUGCUCACAAUCUGAUCAGCAGAAAGGUUAUAACAUUUGAAAAAGAAGUGGUUUAUUUUUGUUUUUUUUAAGUACAAUAAUUUUCGUUUGGAUAAAUGGUCUGAAGGGUGUUUGUGUUUGGCUGAGUUCAUGGAAUUUUCAAGCUAAUUUGGGAUUUAUUCUCAAUUUCAAGAUCAUUGUGGAUAUGUCAGAAAUUAAUGAAAUAUAAAUGGUGGAAUGUGAUUUUCUUGUUUAAGAAAAGUUUUUCUUUGAAAAUGCGGGUGCACCAGACCUACCUUAUUGNNNNNNNNNNNNNNNNNNNNNNNNNNNNNNNNNNNNNNNNNNNNNNNNNNNAUCAGAUUCAACUGUGAUAGCCCGGAAUUUAAUUCAGUAUUCGACUCUUCUGGGAACAUGUUGGUUAUGGUUUCUCUCUCACUGUCCUCUUCUUUACACAUGACUUUUCAGUUGAGGAGCACAAAGCCUAAUGUUGAAGUGAAAGAGAUCAAAGCACCUGCAGCACCGGAGAAAAAAGGGGAACAGGUAAGUACUCUAAUGUGGCUAUUUAAUUUCUAUGGAGGCAGAUCCCCAGAGAAAUGCUGUUCAUGUAAAUUACUGAUGCAUUUGAUUCAAUGGCCACGGUUUUAAAAGAAAAACCACUUUAUGUAUGUUUCUGUGAAUGAGAGAACAAGUUUAUGGAUUAAAUGAUAUUUUUUAUGGUGAAAUAAUCAAUAAUUUUCAAAAUAAUAAUACAUUCCUGCAUGUUUUUGCAAUUCAUGAAUUCCUUUUAUGAUUGAUUCUUCUCACCUUUUUUCUCACCUCAGUGGAAGUGUGAAGAGCCUAAUGUUGCUCAAAAAGAGAUCCAAGUAGUCAAAGUAACAGAGAUAAAAAAUGGGGGGGAUGGAGCAAAGAGGGUAAGUUUUGCUUUUUAUUUAUAAAGUAGGCUGUCUUCACACAAGGAUUAUUAUUAUUAUUAUUGUUAUUAUUUUAAGACAUGAAUGUUGAAUGAUUUUGGAAUUGUCCUUGAAUCAUGUGAAGUGUGAAUGGUCUAAUGCUGCUAAGGAGGAGGUCAAAGUGACAGAAGUAACACAGAGAACAUUUGGUGGUACAGCACAGUGGGUAAGGUUUCAUGUCAUAUUUAAAUGGCUCCUCAUAUUUCACUAGGAUUAAUUUUGCCCCUACAAACUAUUUGGCUACAAGUUAAGACAGAGUUCCAGAUGCUGAUAAAGCUGAGACAUAAGUAAUGAACGAAUUUAGACACAUGCACAACUCUUGUGUGAAACACAAUGAGAGUGGAAAAUAGCUAAGUUGAAAAAUGGCCAAAUACUAUUUUGUAGUUCCCCCUACCACUUAAGUAAUUUUUGUCAUCCUUUGUGAAUGGAAAAUGCAGUCCCUUCAGUAAUUCCAUUAUAUUCAUGACUUGGUGAAGCAUAUAACCAUUAGUGUCUUACCCUAAGUCGACCUUUAAUGAUGAUCCAUUGAGAUGGGUCUGACUUUUGUCAACCCUCUUAUUCCCUUGAUCAUAGAGGUGAAACUUAGGGGGCUUAACCCACUUUUCAAUCUUAUUGGAUAUAUGGCACGUGGUAUCCUCUUCAUCUUGAAAGAGUGAAGUGGUCAUACUCUUUCCUCUGAGUCCAUUGUGGCCAUGCACUUCAGGCUCAUUGGGCUGAGUGAAAGGAUUCCCUUCUGCUUCAAAUCAUAGAGAGAUAUGCCAUGGUCAGCCUCUUUAAUUCAAGGGAUUGAAGUACUCAAAUCCAUUUCUCUGUAUCCAUCUUAGUUCUGCAUUCAUGUCUCAUGGUUAACCAAGAAGAUCCAGCCUCCAUCCAUGAGAUCAGCAUCUGCAGGUUUAUGACACCACCCUUCCUUUGCAUAGGAAAGGGAUCAUUAAGCCAUGUGUCGGAUGACAGAAGUCAUCAUUCAGGUUAUCUUGAGAACUAAGGAAGUUGGAAUUCUAAUUAUUGCAUAUGGUUCUUGAUGUUUAGCCAAUAUACUAUAGGAUUUUAAGCAUCAUGCUCACGUGCAUUGUGGUUGCUUAUCAGCUAUAUGGUUUGCCAAAAUGAGGGACUGAUUAUGGUCAUAAGUACCUUUUUCCCAUUAAUUUCUUGCAUGUGCUCUGCUGAGAUUAUGUUUUUGACAGUCCAAAUCAGGGCAAACCAACAAACAGCUUUAUGUUAACUUUUACAAACUGCCAUAUUUUCAGGUUAAACAAACAGAGAUAAAUCUUGGUGAAACUAGAAGUAAUACAACCUGUGCUGUGGAGAUAAAAGAAAGGGCAGCAGCACUGGUGGCUGCAGAAAUUGAGGCAUGUAGAGACGAUAGAACCCCCAAGAUACCUCUUCAUGAGAAAGUCCAGAAAGAGUGGGCUUGUGCUGUGUGCCAGUUCACAACCCAAACUGAAGCGACCUUCAAUUCCCACCUUCAAGGGAAGAGACAUCAGGCCAUUUCUGAGCAGCUGAGAGCCAAAAAUCAGGCAACCAAAACCAAUUGUUCCCCAUCUGCUUCAAUGGCCAAGAAAUCUGAUCAGUCCACCAAAGAGGAGCAACCGAAGUGUACUUCCAAUCUGAAUUCCAAAAACAAUGGAAUCUCAGCUGCUUCAACAGUGAAGAAACUUGAUGAGACCAAAGAUGAUGAGCAACAAAAGUCUGCAUCUAGCAAUGGACCGAACCAGAAGAAUAACAAAAAGCAAGAGGUACAGACCAAUGAGCAAGGCCGUCAGAAGAACUUAAGGCAAACUGGUGAUGGAAUGAAAGAGUUGAGAUCAUGGUGCAAUAUCUGUAAUGUAAGCUGCACAAGGGAGCUUGACCUGGCCUCGCAUCUCAAUGGAAGGAGGCACUUUGAUAGGAUAAAGCAGCUGUCUGAAUUAUGGUGCAGUAACUGCAAUGUAAGGUGCAACAGUGAGGUUGAUAUGGCCUCUCACCGAAAUGGGAGGAGGCACUUGGAGCAGCUGAAGGAACGGUUAGGAUUAUGGUGCAGUAUCUGUAGUGUGAGUUGCAACAGCAAGGUGGACAUGGAUUCUCACCUAAAUGGGAAGAUUCACUUGGAUCAGAUCAAGGACCAGUUAAGAUUAUGGUGUGGGGCAUGUAAUACAACCUGCAAGAGUGAGCGCAACAUGGCCUUUCAUCUGAAUGGGAGGAAGCACUUAGAGAAGAAGGGGAAUACCUGAUUUGCAUGUUUCUUCAGAUUAUUGAUACUUACAAAUGGUUUUAGUUAGAAGCAUACAGGCCAGUGGGUGGUGGUCACAGAUGCCUCUAUUUUGUUGUAUGAAGUAAAAACAGUAUUUCCAUGUCCAGAAAUCAACCACUUGUUUAGUGCAUGCAUGGCUGGUUCAAAAUUAAAC
rnacentral:lncRNA from 1 species